rnacentral:lncRNA from 1 species
CCGAUCUGUCUAUGCCCUUACGGAUAUGAGGGAUGCAGUCAUCACAGGUAUUGUCUCAGUCUGCCACAGGAGUGCUUCUGUCUUAUUUGAUCACGGAUCUAUCUAUUCCAAUGUAUCUUCAUAUUUUGUUCAUCAUUUGGGUACGACCCAUGGUUGUCUUGCCUUGCUUAUGCACGUAUCUACCACGGUGGGUGAUAUUAUUAUUGUGGAUCAUUUAUAUCGAUCCAGUCUACUGACCAUUGGGGGUCUAGAGACCCGAGUUGACUUGUUAUUACUUGGCAUGGUAGAUUUUCGAUGUGAUUUUGGGUAUGGAUUGGCCAUCUCCGUACCAUGCUAUUCUGGACUGUCAUGCUAAGACAGUUACGUUCCUAUUUCGGGUAUUCCAAGGAUCGAGUGGCGAGGCGUGACUGAUUAGGUACCCAGCAGGGUGAUUUCCUUCUUAAAAGCCCAACGGAUGGUUGGGAAGGGUUGUUUGUCUUACUUGGCUUUCGUGACAGAUGUGGGAGUUGAGGCUCCUAGUCUUGAUUUGGUUCCCGUUAUAAGGGAUUUCCGUGAUAUGUUUCCAGCGAACAUGCCGGGCAUGCCGCCGGACAGGGACAUUGAUUUUGCCAUUGAUUUGGUGCCGGACACUCAGCCCAUCUCUAUCCCUCCUUAUUGUAUGGUGCCAGCGGAGCUAAAGGAGUUGAAGGAACAACAUCAGGAACUCCUAGAUAAGGAGUUCAUUCGCCCGAGUGUGUCACUAGGGGGUGCACCAGUCUUAUUUGUAAAGAAGAAGGAUGGAACAAUGAGAAUGUGUCUUGACUACAGGCAGCUGGAUAAGGUGACAGUGAAGAACAAGUACCCACUACCCCGUAUUGAGGAUUUGUUUGAUCAGAUCCAAGAAGCAAGGGUAUUCUCUAAGAUUGACCUUCGAUCAGGCUAUCACCAGCUGAAGAUUAGGGAUUCAGACAUUAUGAAGACGGCUUUCAGGAUGAGAUAUGNNNNNNNNNNNNNNNNNNNNNNNNNNNNNNNNNNNNNNNNNNNNNNNNNNNNNNNNNNNNNNNNNNNNNNNNNNNNNNNNNNNNNNNNNNNNNNNNNNNNNNNNNNNNNNNNNNNNNNNNNNNNNNNNNNNNNNNNNNNNNNNNNNNNNNNNNNNNNNNNNNNNNNNNNNNNNNNNNNNNNNNNNNNNNNNNNNNNNNNNNNNNNNNNNNNNNNNNNNNNNNNNNNNNNNNNNNNNNNNNNNNNNNNNNNNNNNNNNNNNNNNNNNUGAGCACUCUAAUCAAGGAAGAACAAGUACCCACUACCCCGUAUUGAGGAUUUGUUUGAUCAGAUCCAAGAAGCAAGGGUAUUCUCUAAGAUUGACCUUCGAUCAGGCUAUCACCAGCUGAAGAUUAGGGAUUCAGACAUUAUGAAGAAGGCUUUCAAGACGAGAUAUAGGCACUACGAAUUUCUAGUGAUGUCUUUCGGGCUGACUAAUGCCCCAGCCGCGUUCAUGCCCUUGAUAAACAGUGUAUUUAGGCCUUAUCUGGAUUCUUUUGCGAUCAUGUUUAUUGAUGAUAUCCCAGUGUCCUCGCAUAGCCAGGAUGGGCACUCACAACACCCGAGGGUGGUAUUGCAGAGAUUGAGAAAGGAGAAACUCUAUGCGAAAUUCUCCAAGUGUGGCUUCUGGCUUAGUACUGUGGCUUUUGUGGGACACGUGCUGUCCAGUGAUGGUAUUCGGGUUGACCCAAAGAAGAUUGAGGCGGUGUAGAGUUGGCCUAGACUGUCCUCAGCUACUAAGAUUUGGAGUUUCCUCGGCUUGGCGGGUUAUUACUGCAGGUUUGUUCAGGGUUUUUCAUCUAUUGUUUUCCAUGAUGAAGUUAACAUAGAAGAAUGCUCCAUUUGUGUGGUCGGAUGAAUGAGAGGAGAGAUUCCAGAAGCUCAAGUCGGCUUUGACCAAAGCUCAUGUAUUAGUAUUGCCAUCAACUUUAGGUUCUUACAUGGUGUAUUGUGAUGCUUCAAGGGUUGGGAUCGAUUGUGUAUUGAUGCAGGAUGGUAGAUUAAUUGAUUAUUCUUUUCGUUAGCUAAAGCCCAAUGAGAAGAACUAACAUGUCCAUGACUUAGAGUUGGCUACAAUUGUUCAUGCCUUGAAGAUUUGGAGGCGUUAUCUAUGUUGUGUAUCUUGUGAGGUAUAUACAGACAAUCUCAGUCUUCAACACUUGUUUAAGUAGAAGGACCUUAAUCCGAGACAGCGGAGAUGUCUUGAGUUACUCAUAAACUAUGACAUUACCAUUUUGUAUUAUCCCGGGAAGUCCAAUGUAGUGGCUGAUGCCUUGAGCCGGAAGGCUAUUGGCAUGGGUAGUCUGGCGUACAUUCCAGUUAGGGAGAGGACCCUUGCGGUUUAUGUUUUGGCCUUGGCCACUCAGAUGGUGACGUUGGAUAUACCGAGCCUAUCGGGUGUUGGCCAGUGUGGUUUCCCUAUCUUCUUUGUAUGACCGCAUUAGAGAGCGCCAGUAUGAUGAACCGCAUUUUCUUGUCCUGAAGGACAGGGUCCAGCAUGAUGAUGCCAGGGAUGUGACCAUUGGAUAUGAUGGUGCGUUGCAGACGCAGGACGAGAUUUGCGUGCCCAAUGUGGAUGGUCUCCAAGAGUUGAUAUUAGAGGAGGGCCACAGUUCGCGGUAUUCGAUUCAUCCGGGUGGCACGAAGAUGUACCAGGACUUUAGACAAUAUUACUAGUGGAUAAGGAUGAAAAAGGAUAUUGUGAAUUAUGUGGCUCGGUGUCUCAACUGUCAACACGUCAAAUAUGAGGAAUAGAGACCCGGUAGUAUACUCCAGCAGAUGGAUAUUCCAGAGUCGAAAUGGGAGACUAUUACCAUGCAUUUUGUGAGUGGUCUUCCGCAUACCUCGAAGAAGUUUGAUUCGAUUUGGGUGAUUGUGGAUAGACUGACCAAGUCCGCGCACUUCAUUCCGGUAUGCACUACCUAUUAUGCGAAGAAGUUAGUAGAGAUUUUCAUUUGGGAGAUUGAACAGUUGCAUGGGGUCCCGAUUUCCAUUGUAUCAGUUAGGGGUGCCAUGAUUACUUUCCAGUUCUGGAGGAAUUUUCAUCAGGAGUUGGUCACAUAGGUACAGCUGAGCACUACAUUACAUCCUCAGACGGACGGGCAGUGUGAGCACUCUAUCCAGAUAUUGGAGGACAUGUUGCUUGCCUGUGCUAUUGAUUUUGGAGGUUCUUGGGCUGAAUUUUUGCUGCCUACGGAGUUUGCAUAUAAUAACAACUAUCAAUCUAGCAUCCUGAUGGCGCGUGAGGCCUUAUAUGGGAGACUGUGUAGAUCUCCGGUUGGUUAGUUUGAGCUCGACUAGGCUAGAUUAUUAGGGACAAAGAUAGUUCAGGAUGCCUUAGCGAAGGUGAAGGUGAUCCAGGAGAGACUUCGUACAGCCCAGUCGCGUCAGAACAGUUAUGCGGACCGAAAGGUUCAAAAUGUACCUUAUGAAGUGGGCGAGAAGGUCUUGUUGAAGGUUUUGCCUAUGAAAGGCGCUAUGAGGUUCGGAAAGAAAGGGAAGCUGAGUCCAAGGUUCAUUGGACCUUUUGAGAUACUUAGAAGGAUUGGGGAGGUGGCUUAUAUGCUUGCUUUGCCACCUCGCUUGUCGGGAGUUCACCCGGUGUUCCAUGCUUCUAUGAUCCGGAAGUAUGUUGAGGACCCGUCUCAUGUAUUAGACUUUAUCACGAUUAAGCUGGACAAGGACUUGACCUACGACGUGGAGCCGGUGGCUAUUUUAGGUCGUCAAGUUAGAAAGUUGAGAUCAAAGGACAUAGCUUCAGCUAAAGUGCAGUGGAGCCACGUGGGAGACCGAGCAGGAGAUGCAGAGUAGAUAUCAUCACUUGUUUGAUACUCUAGGUAUGUUUCUUGACCCGCUCGAGGACAAGCGUUUGUAUAAGUUGGGGACGAUGUAACGACCCAAACCGUUGUCAUGUGAUUUACUGCCCGUUUUCCCCGUUUUAUGCUUUAUUAUGUUUCAUUAUAUGUGUUUGGAGAAAUUGAAGUAAUUCAGAUGGAGUUCGGUUAGAAAUGAGACAAUUAGUCUCUUUAUGCGAAGGUUAGUUUGGAAAGUCAACCGAAUGUUGACUUAUGAGUUAGAGGGUUCAGAAUGGAUUUUAUAUGAUUCGACUAGUCUUAGCUAGUGAUUGAUGACUUAGGAGCACAGUCGGAACUGAAUUUGGAGGUCCGGUGUAGAAUUAGGCUUGAAUUGGCUAAGUUUGAAUUUUGGCGAAGUUUGGUUGAUAGGUGAGAUUUUUUAUCCAGGGGGUCAGAAUGGAUUUAUGACAGUUGCAAUAGCUCCUCUAGGUGAUUUUUGAUAUGCUUGCAAAGUUUUAUGUUAUUCAGAGGUGUUUAGGUCGGGUUUUAGAUCAAAUGCAAGUUUCGGAAGUUUUUGUUUGAAAUAGGCUUGAAUCCGUGCUAAUUUGAUGAUUUUGAUGUUUAUGAUUGUGUUUUUAUGCUACGAGGAAGUUUGAGUGAGGUAUUAGAACAUAUCUGUGCUUUUGGUUGAGGUCUCGAGGCCAUCAGGGUGAUUUCGGAUGGCUAACGGUAAUUUUUGAAGUUAAAAGAUGCAGUGGAAAAUUUGCAGAGCAAAUUUGUUCAUCGCGAUUGCAAGCCUAGGGCUUCGAUCACAUAGAAGGAAAAUGGGAGGCCUAGCUCUUUCUCUCCGCGAUCGCAAUAAGACGUCUGCGAUCGCAUAAGAGGCUUGGGGUCGGAGUGUUUUGUUCUUCGCGAUCGCAACAUGUGGAACACGAUUGCAUAGAAGUGGAUGGUGAGGCAUCACGAUCGCAUGGGGAUGGCCGGGAUUGCAUAGGCCAUUUUGGAGGCCUGGUAAGUUUGUUCAAUGCGAUCGCAUAGAAGUAAAUAGCUAGGCAGAGAAAGGUUUUUAAUAACACUUCAUAUGCGGACCAAACCUAUAUUCCACCAUUGUUAAGCAACCAAGAGAGCUUUUUGAGCGAUUUGAAGCGUGUUUUCAACGGGUAUUGAUUGGAGGUAAGUCCCUUGACUUAAAAACUCCAUUUUUAUGAAGAAUCAACCCUCAAAUCCAUGAAAUAAUGUUGAAAUUGUUAAGAACUAGGGGUUAGUUUUUGAAAACAAAUUUGAGGGAUUAGAAAGGUCAUUCGAGCUCCGUUUUUGACAAAAUUUAUAUGUACGGACUCGUGGGGAGAUGAGGAAUUCGUUGAUAUGAUUUUAGGAAUUUUUCGAGAAGUAGUCCCGGUGCUCGGGUUUUACCAACUUCGUGAUUUUUACUGUUUUUUUCCGAGUAACUUUGAUUGGGUUAUGUUUCUUAAACAUAUAAUAAUGUAUCCUUGUGGUUUUGACUAGAUUCAACGCGUGAGGAGGUCCAUUCGAAAUGAAAGGGUGUUGCUAGCUAGUUUUCGGCCGGCUAGAGGUGUGUAGUUGAUGUGAUUGCUGUGCUGAGGGUUUGAAACCCCAUACUUUCACAUCGUAUCGCUAUAUUGAGGAGUGACACGCAUUACACGAUGAGUGCGGGGUUCGAUACAGUUGGGUAUUGAGAAUUAGUCCAUUCCGAGUGAUUAUUGUUAUUAUACUGGGGACUGAAAUGCUUUCCUUGUUAUUGUGAAUUGGGCUUAUUGCCAUGUUUGGAGCCUUGUGCGGAGCUGUAGAAUCCUUAGGGAAUUUUUAUAUAUUUUCCUGACUUGUGUGCAUCACAUAAAUUCUCAGUCACAUUUUCAAAUAUUAAAAUAAUAUAAUAACAGUGUUUUAUACAUGAACCUUAAAUGAAAAAGGAUUUUGAGGGCUAAGAUCCCUAUAGUAUGUCCUGUCCGAUUGACAGUGGACUAAUUUGACUGAGAUAGGUCGGGGACGCUGUAGUGAGAAUUAUUAGCCUUACAUAGAUCGGGCUACGCGUCGUAGUGAUUAUAUAUAUUGAUAUUGAGGCCGAGAGCCUUUUUUAUGCCAAUACCUAGCUGAUAUUGUGGUUGGGCUGUAGGAGCCCAUCUGAAGUCUAUACACACCCCAAGUGAGCUCCGUCGACGUUAAAUAAGUGAAGCGGGCUACACGUCGCAGCGGGUACUGGAUUGUACUAUUAUAUGUAUAGUUUUCUGCCAUGUAUUAUUCCUUAAAAUGUUUUAAGUUGUUUUAUACUGUUUUCACUGUUUGGAUAUGAAUUUCUAGAAUGGUACAUUGUGCAUUUACUAUGUUUUGUUACUUUCAGCCUUUAGUUAUAUCUAUUACCACUGAGUUGGAUGUCACGACCUAAAGGGCCAUCACUGUCAUUCUCCAUUUUCUUGCGAUUCAGAGGCCUUGAAAACCUCUUAUUUGGCUUCCUCUAUUUGCAUGCCCAGUCCGGGCGUGUAACCGGAAAUUUUAUAUGUGAAAAAAAUUUAAUUAUGUGUUAAAACUAUGAAUUUUGAUACUAAUAUUGCUAUAGUUGACUUUGGUCAACAUUUUGGGUAAACGGACCCGUAUCCGGACCCGUGAUGUGAUAGUUCCAGAGGGUUCGUAAGGAAAUUUGGGACCCGGGAGUAUUUUCGGAAUCGAAAUCCGUGGUCCCAGGCCCUAGUACAGAGCUUUUCUGUGAAAUUAUUUUUUGAAUACGUUUAAGGUAAAAUAAAAACGGAAAUUGAUCAAAAAUAAUAGUAUCGGCCUCAUAUUUUCUUUCCGACGCCCGAUACAAGUCUUAAUUUGGCAUUAAGCGCUAUCUGUAAUGUUUUGUUGAAAACUGACAUCGUUUGACGUGUUUUGGACUAAAAGUGGAAAGUUUGAAAAUUUUGAACUUAGAAAUGGAAAUCAUGAGUUUUGGAGGUUGAUUUUGUGAUUUUGAUGUUAUUUUGGGGGUUCAGACUCCUGCUACACGUACUAUGGAAAUCAUGAGUUUUGGAGGUUGAUUUUGUGAUUUUGAUGUUAUUUUGGCCAUUUGAUCGCUCGACAAGUUUGUAGGAUGAUAUUGAGUUAGUAUGUGUGAUUGGUUGGGAGCCCCGAGGGCUUGGGAGUGUUUUUGGAGGUGUUUUUUGCUCUUUAGACUUAGCAGAUUUUCUGCAACUGUUGCCCAGUGAUUUUAUUCUACGCGAUCGCGGCCUUUGCCACGCUAACGCACUUCUUUGGCUCGUACUUCUAUGCGAUCGCAUUGUCGUUCAUGCGAUCGCGUAGCUUCCAUCUUCCUCUUCUCCAUGUUCGCGUACUAGUCCACGCGAUUGCAUAGACAAAUUCACCUUCUAGUGAAUUUUCCUCUACGAUGUCGCAACACUCAUUACGCGAUCGCGUAGCUCCCAAGUUUCCUUCACCGCGAUCGCAUCCCCAUUCCUGCGAUCGUGAAGGGCAUUUUCGCCCAAUGAUUUUAAAUAUCUAAAACAGACCAGUGACGGCAUUUAUUCCCAAGUUCUCACAUGAACUCUCUUCCUAACUUCUCAAUUGGCAAAACUCUAGCCCCCAAUUCAUCACAACUCUUUGGGUAAGUAAUCAUAACAUUAUUUCCUUACUGUUUCUUCAUCAAACCAUUAAAUUACUAUCUCUAAUACAUGAAAUCCAAGUAGAAUUUAAGGGUUUUGGGUUUAGUUAGGGUUUAUGGGAUUUUGGGUAUUUCAACCUCAAUUUGAGGUUGAAUGUAAAAUCUAAUUAUAUAUUUGAACUCGUGGGGUUAUGGGGGAUUGGGUUUCGGUCCGAGCCUCGAAUUUGGACCACGUGGGCCCAAUGUCGAAUUUUAGUAUUUUGAAAGUAAGCUAGGAAAUGCAUUUUUAGGCAAUAGGAUUGUGUUUUUGGAUUCUUAUUGAUAAUAUUGAACCUGAUUAUGUUAGAUAUCGUUGGUCUAGGGUCGAAUUCUAGAGGAAAAGCGAUUAUUGAGCUUUGAGUUUCCAUUUUGGGUAUGGUGACGGUUACCUAUGCACCCGAGUCAAGCAUGACUGUGAUGUCAUAUUUGCUAUUAAAUUGUGAAGUAAGUGAACAAUUUUGAUAAUCAUCUGUUACAAGAACUACGAAGCGAAAGUUGAAAAUUAAAAGAACCAAAACGGAAUUUUUGGUACUAUUUCCAUUGUCGAGACUUGUUGUUGAAAUGUUCUCCCUUGCCGGGAUGAUUAAUCCUUUUUUCUAAACCCUCACCCCAUUAUCUAUGUCAUUGUUUGGGUGAGGAUGAGCGAUAAAGCACGAUGGGUGAUGACGUGUAACUACUUUAUGCUAUUGAUUGGAUGAGGAAGAGUGAUAAAGCACGAUGGGUGAUGCCGUAUAACUAGUUUAUGCAAUUGUUUGGGUGAGGAUGAGUGAUAAAGCACAAUGGGUGAUGCCGUGUAACUACUUUAUGCUAUAGAUUGGGUGAGGAAGAAUGAUAAAACACGAUGGGUGAUGCCCUGUAACUACUUUAUGCUAUUGUUUGGGUGAGGAUGAGUGAUAAAGCACGAUGGGUGAUGCCAUGUAACUAAUUUAUGCUAUGGAUUGGUGAGGAUGAGUGAUAAAGUACGAUGGGUGGUGCUAUACACUUUAAUUAAUUAUCUUGGUGAGGACGAGAGUAAAAGCACGAUGUGUGGUGCCGUGCAAUGUUUGAUUUACUGGAUUCCUUUUAUUGAUGUUAAUUAUGCAGUUUCCAUUUCUUUGCUUGUUAAUUUUAUAAUUGAACCGUUAUACCCCUCAGCAUGUCCCCUCCCCAUUAUCUGUUUUAAUUUUAUUAUCUUUCCGUUAUUGCCCAUAUAUCUGUACAAGUUGAUUGUGAUAGGUCCUGUUUAGUCUUGUCACUACCUCGCCAAGGUUAGGCCGGGUACUUACCAGCACAUGGGGUUGGUUGUGCUGAUACUACACUUCUUUGCCUUUUUUGUGCACAUGUCAGGACACAGCCUUCGGAUCGCAGCAGUAUCCAGGGCGCGAUCCUUCAGUCGAGAGACUCUGAGGUAGUUCACUGGUGUUCGCGGGCCCUAAGUCUCCUCUAUUCAUUUCUUUCAGUUUGUUUAAUUGUAUCAACUAAACAUGUCAUGUAUUCCUUUCAAACUGUUUCUUUAAGUACUCUUUUAGUCGUCCGUGAGUAGUGACACCAGAUACUGGAUAGAGGCAUGUUGUUAAUUUUCCACAUUUUCUCAUUUCUAUUAUUGCUAAAAGUCUUCCGCGUGUUUUAAUUAAAUAUUUCAGUAUAUAAUUUUCUUUAGAUUAAGGUUAUUGAGAAAAUGAUUAAAAAGCGAUUAGCUUGCCUAGCUUCGACAGUAGGCGCCAUCACGACUCCCGAUGGUGGGUAAAUCCAGGUCGUGACAAGUUGGUAUCAGAGCACUAGGAUACUUAGGCAUUACAACUCACGGACAAACUAGGUAAAGUUUGAGGGAUCGGUACGAAGACGUCUGUAUUUAUCCCUGAGGCUACAGGUUAGGAAAAAAUUUCACUUUGUUCUUUCUUGUCGUGCAUUUCCAUUCCUCGAACACCUUUUAAAUUUCCACUCUAUCCUUUCGCAGAUGGCAAGAACCCAUGCUUCCUCUUUUACCGCAGAGCAGUCCGAGUCUCCAGCACCAGCUCCUAUCAGAGGUAGAGGGAGAGGCUGAGGCCAGGGCAGAGCUCAGCCUCGAGAAGCAGCCUAAGAGGUGGAGCCAUAUGUUGACUAUGAUGAGGAGGCUCCAGCUCCAGCCAUUUCGGUGGGCCCAACUCGGGUCCCAGAAGGGCUUAUAGCCACCGCAGCUCUGCAGGAUUCUUUGGUCUGAUUAGUGAAUCUUGUGGAGGGUGGUAUUGGAGUGGUUUUCCCUCCAUGGUCUCAGCCAACAAUAGUAGAUCAGCCGGGUGGAGCGGCUCAAACUAGGUGUGGGGUCCCUUUUCAGUAGACAGCCAAUGAGGGCCGUGGAGUUGAGGUGGUACUGCCAUAGGGAGGCGGUCAUCGAUCGGCUAAGAGGCCCCAUUAUGCGGGUAGAUUCAAUGGUACCUCUAAUGGAGGUAGAGAUUCUGAUGGUAGAGGCCAACCUUCCAAGCCCUUUCAGUCUGAUUCCCCUACCAGUCAUGGUACUUCAGGUGACCUUUUGGGUAAACAGGGCCAUCGUUAGUUUCCUCAGUUGUUGCGCGUCUGUGGGUGUUAUGAGUGUCACGUGUAUGGUCACCUCACGUGGGCUUGCCCGAGGCUGAGGGGUGCUCGUCCGCAGCAGUCAAGGUUUUGCCAUGCUUGUGGCGAUCUGAGGCACAUGGUCAGAUAUUACCCUAGAGCUCUGAGUAUCUCUCAGUAUCAGAGUUAUCCUACUUGGCUCCAAGCAUCGGAGGUUCCACCGCCUACCCAGCCGGCUAGAGGCAGGGGUAGAGGUCUUAGACGUGGCACAUAGUUAGAUCUUGCCCUAGAGGUUUGAGUAGCUCUCGGUAUCAGAGUUAUCGUGCUUGGCUUCAGGCAUCGGAGGUUCCAUAGCCUACCCAGCCGGCUAGAGGUAGGGGUAGAGGUCUUAGAGGUGGAAUUCAGACCGCCAGUUGUAGGGAUCAGCCAGCGGCCAAUUUUGAGGUUGAGACUUCAGAUGCAGACAUUACAGGUAUUGUUCCGAUUUGUAUUAGAGAUGUUUCAGUGGUAUUUGUCCAUGGAUCUACGUAUUCAUAUGUUUUUUCCUGUUUUGCACCCCAUUUGAUUAUGCCUAGUGAGGCCUUGGGUUUCUGUAUAUGUGUCUACUCCGAUGAGUGAUUCUAUAAUGGCCGACCGAGUGCAUCGUCCAUGUGUGGUAGUAUUUGAGGGUUUGGAGACCCGUGUCGACUUAUUGCUCUUAGAUAUGGUGGACUUUGAUGUUAUAUUAGGGAUGGAAUAGUCGUCCCCAUGCCAUGUUAUUUUGGGAUUGUCACACCAAGAUCAUGACUUUGGCUUUACCCAAUUUGCUCCAUUUAGAGUAGGAAGGGAUUUUAGAUCAUCCAACCCACUGAGAGAUAUUGUAUGUGAAGGCUCGACGCAUGGGUAAGUAGAGGUAUUUAUCUCAAUUGGCGUAUGAUCGCAACUCCAACGCCGAGGUUCCUGCCAUUGGUUCUGUUCCUAUUGUUUGGGAGCUUCCCCGAUGUAUUCCCAUCAGACCUGCCGGGCAUGCCGCCUGGAAUGGAUAUCGAUUUAUGUAUUGAUCUGGGGCCAGGCACUCAGCUUAUUCCCAUUUCAUCGUAUCGCAUGGCCCCGCCGGAGCCGAGAGAGUUAAAGAAAGAGCUUCAGGAUUUGCUUACUAAGGGUUUCAUUAGGCCGAAAGUUUCGCCUUGGGGUGCACCCACGUAAUUGUGAAGAAGGACGGUUCGAUGAGGAUAUGUUUUCGAUCAGCUUUAGAGCACCAAGGUGUUUUCAAGGAUAUAUUGGGACUCUGGUUACCAUCAGUUGAGGAUAUAGGCAUUCGGUGUCCGUAAGAUAGUUUUCCGCACUCGAUUCGGGCAUUAUGAGUUCUUGGGGAUGUUAUUUUGGUUUACAAAUGCCCUGGCAACAUUCGUGGAAUUGGUGAACUGAGUGUUCAGGCCGUAUUUGGAUUUUUCGUGAUUGUAUUCAUUGACGACAUCUUGAUACACUCCCCCAGUCAGGAAGAGCAUGAGCAGCACCUUGUAUGGUUCUUCAAACUCUGAAGGAUAGCCAGUUGUACGCCAAAUUCUCAAUGUGCGAAUUUUGGUUGAGUUCAGUAGCAUUCCUAGGUCAAGUCGUAUCAGAAAAGGGUAUUCAAGUUGACCCGGAGAAGAUAGAGGCAGUCAAGAACUGGCCUCGACCAGCUUCAGCUACAGGUACUUCUUGGGGUUAGCUGGUUACUACAUGCAUUUUAUGGAGGGGUUUUCAUCCAUCGCAGCCCCGAUGACUAGAUUGACUGAGAAGGGUGCCCAGUUCAAGUGGUCAGAUGAGUGCGAGGCGAGCUUCCAGAAGCUCAAGACUGCCCUGACUACUACAUGCAUUUUAUGGAGGGGUUUUCAUCCAUCGCAGCCCCGAUGACUAGAUUGACUGAGAAGGGUGCCCAGUUCAGGUGGCCAGAUGAGUGCGAGGCGAGCUUACCGAAGCUCAAGACACCCCUAACUACGACACCGGUGUUGGUCCUGCCCACGGAAUUCGGGCCUUAUAAUGUUUAUUGCGAUGCUUCCCGCAUUGGACUUGGCGCAGUGUUGAUGCAGAAGGGUAAGGUCAUAGCAUAUGCUUCGAGGCAGUUGAAGAUCUACGAGAAGAAUUAUCUAGUUCAUGACCUAGAGUUGGAAGCCAUUGUUCAUGCCUUGAAGAUCUAAAGGCAUUAUUUCUAUGGUGUGACGUGUGAGGUUUAAACGGAUCACAAGACCCUUUAGCUUCCUGUUCAAGCAGAAAGAGUUGAAUUUGAGACAACGGAGGUAGUUGGAGUUGUUGAAAGAUUAUGAUGUUUCUAUUUUAUACCAACAAGGGAAGGCCAAUGUGGUGGUCGAUGCAUUGAGUAUAAAGUCCGCCAUCAUGGGUAGUCUUGCAUAUAUUCCGGUCAGCCAGAGACCGCUUGCCUUGGAUGUUCAGGCCUUGGCCAAUAAAUUUGUGAGAUUGGAUGUUUCUGAGCCCAGCAGGGUGUUAUCUUGCACGGUUGCUCGCUCGUCAUUGAUGGAGCGUAUCCGGGAGAGGCAUGUGAGAUUGGAUAUUUCUCAGCCCAGCAGAGUGUUAGCUUGCACAGUUGCUCGCUCGUCAUUGAUGGAGCGUAUCCGGGAGCGGCAGUUUGAUAAUCCCCAUUUGUGUGUCACGAGAGACACGAUGCAGAGGGGAGGUGCCAAUGAGAUGACUUUGGGAGAUGAUAGCAUAUUGAGGUUGUAGGGACGAGUUUUUGUGCCCAAUCUUGAUUGUAUUCGAGAGUCGAUCUUAGCGGAGGCCCACAGUUUUCGGUUCUCUUUUAAUCCGGGCGCCGCGAAUAUGUAUCAGGAUUUGAGACAUCAUUAUUGGUGGCGUAGAAUAAAGAAAGACAUUGUUGAAUAUGUGGCUCGUUGUCUAAAUUGCCAACAGGUUAAGUGCGAGCAUCAGAGGCCCAGUGGAUUAUUUAAAAGGAUUGAGCUUCCAGAGUGGAAGUGGGAGAGAAUCACCAUGGAUUUUGUUACUGGCCUUCCGAUGACGCGGAAGAAGUUUGAUGCUAUAUGGGUUAUUGUGGAUAGGCUGACUAAAUCAACGCAUUUCAUCCCAGUUGCCACCACCUAUUCAUCCGAAAGGUAUGCAGAGAUUUAUAUCAGGGAGAUCGUUCGCCUUCAUGGGGUGCCCAUAUCUAUUAUUUCGGAUCGGGGUUCGCAGUUUACCUUGCAUUUCUGGAGAGCGGUGCAGCAUGCGUUGGGUAUCUAGGUCCAGUUGAGUACAACAUUUCACCCCCAGACGGAUGCUCAGUCCGAGAGGACCAUUUAGAUUCUUGAGGAUAUGCUUUGAGCCUGCGUUAUUUAUUUUGGAGGCUCGUGGGACCAGUUCUUGCCAUUAGAGGAGUUUGCCUACAACAACACCUACGAGUCUAGUAUUCAGAUGGCCCUGUAUGAGGUGUUGUAUGGUAGGAGGUGUCGGUCCCCAGUCGUAUCGUUUGAGCCGGGAGAGGCUCAGUUAUUGGGUACAGAUUUGGUACAGGAGGCCUUGGGCAAGAUCAAGAUCAUUCAGGAUAGACUUUGGCCAGCUCAGUCCAGGCAGAAGAGUGUUGCAGAUCGUAUGGUGAAGGAUGUUGCUUUCAUGGUUGGUGAGCGAGUAUUGCUCCGUGUAUCGCAUAUGAAGGGCGUGAUGAGGUUUGGGAAGAAGGCCAAGCUUAGCCCUUGGCAUAUUGGGCCAUUUGAGAUUCUGGACCGUGUGGGGAAUGUGGCUUAUAAACUUGCAUUGCCGCCUAGCUUGUCACUCGUGCAUACGAUCCUCAUUAGAGGAGUUUGCCUACAACAACACCUACGAGUCUAGUAUUCAGAUGGCCCUGUAUGAGGUGUUGUAUGGUAGGAGGUGUCGGUCCCCAGUCGUAUCGUUUGAGCCGGGAGAGGCUCAGUUAUUGGGUACAGAUUUGGUACAGGAGGCCUUGGGCAAGAUCAAGAUCAUUCAGGAUAGACUUUGGCCAGCUCAGUCCAGGCAGAAGAGUGUUGCAGAUCGUAUGGUGAAGGAUGUUGCUUUCAUGGUUGGUGAGCGAGUAUUGCUCCGUGUAUCGCAUAUGAAGGGCGUGAUGAGGUUUGGGAAGAAGGGCAAGCUUAGCCCUAGGUAUAUUGGCCCGUUUGAUAUUCUGGACCGUGUAGAGAAUGUGGCAUAUAGACUUGCAUUACCGCCUAGCUUGUCAGCUGUGCAUCCAGUUUUUCAUGUAUCCAUGAUUCGAAAGUAUCACGGUUAUCCCACCCAAGUGUUAGAUUUCAGCAGUGUACAAUUGGACAAGGGUCUGUCAUAUGAGGAGGAGCCGGUGGCUAUUUUAGACCGGCAGGUUCGACAAUUGAGGUCGCAGAGUUUUCCUUCAGUGCGUGUUCAGUGGAGAGGUCGGCCUCCUGAGGCAUCAACUUGGGAGUCCGAGUUUGAUAUGCAGAGCCGUUAUCCCCAUCUAUUCCUCUACUCAGGUACUUCUUUCUUUUGUCCAUUCGAGGACGAACAAUUAUUUUAGAGGUGGAGGAUGUGACGACCAAAGUGUCAUCACUGUAAUUCUCCCUUUUCUCGUUCUUCUGAGGCCUUGAAAACCUCUUAUUUGGUUGCCUCGAUUUGCGUGUGCAGUCUGGGCAUAAAGCCGGAAAUUUUUUAUGUAAAUAUAUUUGAAUUCUGUGUUAAAAACUAUGAACUUUGAUACUAAUAUUGCCAUAGUUAUCGAAAAAGGUGUUUAGAAAUUCUAGCCUAGGGAAGAAGGGUGAAUAUUAUUUCCAUCACUAUUCAUCUGGCAUAUCUCCGGAUUUUGGCGGUGGAUUGUCACAAAUUUGGUGUCACAAGAUCCCUUUAUAUUUGCAAACAAUCCCCAAUUUAUUUUUUCCUCAAAUCUAUAACCAAUUUUCCUACAUCUUAAAUCUAAUUUAUGCGAUUUACUGUAGCACCCUCAUUUUUGAAAUUUCCAGCGCUAUUAUAGCGUGGCUGUGAUGGAUUGUCAUUGAAAGGCAACCAUGGAAGCUACGCCCUCUCCCCAGCCUUUUGCUGUGGGAGAGGCUAUUCAAAACAAUACUGAAAAUCAAACUUCUCUCGGUACCAAACAAACAUAUGCAUCGCAACUAGCUGGGCAACAAUCUGCCACAACAAUCUCAAAGAUGGAACUUUGUCCUGUUACGUUUGAGCAUGGAAUACCUACUAUUGAAUUCACAAUAGAUGAGGUGAAUUCAUUCACCGGGGAGGAAGUUCUUCAAGAAGCAGUUGUAAUUAAAUUUUCAUAUGGAAAGCCUGAGCUUCAGGAGCAGAGACAGAUUUUGCCGAAACAAUUCGACGUCAAAGGUAAUUGCAACAUAGGACAGCUAGAAUAUCGGCAUAUUCUGGUAAGAUUCGAUUUAUUUGAAGAUUUUGCUCAUGUGGUAUCAAGAACAACUGGCUCUGUUAAGUCAAAAGGAGACGUGUUCUUCAUUAGGAAAUUCCCAUGGACAAUGGGAUUUAAUCCCCAUGAAGAAACGUCAAAAACUGUGGCUUGUAUUUCAUUUCCUGAUAUGCCAGCAAAUUUCUUUGCAAAAAUCCUUAAUGUCCAUCGCAUCUGCUGUGGGAAUGCCUCUUGCAGUAGAUAAGGCUACUAAAGAUCGAACGCGACCUAGUACGACAUGAGUUAAUGUCUUGAUUAAUUUACUAUACAAACAUCCAAAGAAAAUCAAGAUCAAGAUAGUAGAUAUAAAAUCUGGAAAAAUAGUUGAAUACGACCAGAAGGUUGUGUUUGAUAAUUUACCUAAAUACUGCACGUAUUGUAAUCAUCAAGGUCAUGAUGUAAAUCAUGUCUUUGGAGUACAGAGGAUCUAAAUAAUGAUGCAGUUCGUAUACACGAAUACGAAGGUCGGGGCAGUUUGGCUAAAUUGGGAGGUGAUGCCAGGGAGUACUCUAAUGCUAAUCUUGCGGGACGACGGAUUGAAGGGGUUCGACCUAAUGGGAUUGAUGAUGCAGCUCAAAAAAUUGUUUCUGCUUCAAAUGUUCCACCUGCAGAAGGUCUUUCAAGGCCAAAUGGUGAUACUGCCCAGCUUUGUAAAAUGCAAUAUACUGUUCCGUUGAAGUUUCCUUUGAAUGUUGUAACGUAAAAGGUGAUGUCAAAUUUGCAACCUAGUGAUGCAUCUACUGGGGCAGAAACUGACAAUGGAAAAAGCCAUGAAGAGAUUUUGAUCGAGCAGCAGCAGAUGUUGCAGAAUACAAACAAUGAAAACACUAUACUGUUUGGUCAAGCAAAUGGUACAAAUUUGGAGGCUUCAGAUACUUUCAGAGCUACUAUAGAUCCUACUGUUUUAUCAGUUUAACCAGGGGAGAAGUCGACAGUAACAAAUUUACUUGAUGCUUCAAAAACUCCUGGACAACAACUAUGUAAUGAAUUGAAUAAAGCAUCAGCUUUGGUUACUUCUGAUCCUACCAAUACAGCUGAAAUUUGCAAAGGACAACAUCACAGGUGCAAUGUGCAGCAGCUAGUAGUAGGGGAGGAAAAUGUACCUGCUAGUGUAGAUCUAAUUCAUAAGACAAAUAUAGAAUUGGAUGGCUUUAAAUGGACUGGGUAAAAUGAAGAGGUGGAUUAUCAAUGUGAUGUUAUGGAAUUGGAGUUCGCAGCAUUUGUUACAAAGUGUAACAAGAGUACCAACUAGACAUUAGAUAACGAAGCAGCUGCUGCAGUUUUUAUUUUCUCGAAUCUGGAUUCUAAAGUUCCUUUGCAAUGUCUCGCUAUUCUAGCUAUAUCUGGUAGUGAUAAUCAUGAUGAUGUGUGUCAACUUCUUCAACUAAUAGCAAGUCCUACAGAUUACGAUGUUGCGCAGAACAUAUUUCGACAAGAUACCUCUAAAUAGCCUGAUAUGAUUCAACAAGGCAGUGUGACCAUUUUGAUAGAUACAGCAGCUGCACAUUCUAAUGCUGCCGUAUUUCAAAGUGAGUUUGAUUUAGAGCCUACUGAUACUACACAACAAAAAAGGUAAGCUGGUCAACAUACUGCAAAGGAUAAUUGGUCUUCGAUGUCCAACAGAAAAGUAACUCCAAAAACCAAAAACAAAAUGCUAAUCGCACAAAAGAGUCCAGCUUUACCUACAAAUUCAAACUCAUUUGCUGCACUUACCAAUGUCAAUAAUGAGGAUGUAAAGUUGACUGGAGAGAAUUUUCAGACGGUUGAGAGUUAUUAUCAAACUAGCUCAUCAACUACAGCAGCAUUGAAUAAAGUUCAUGCUAAUGAUCCAAAUACGCAAAUGUAGGCCAAUGAUCAUAAUUCUCCAAGCAUACCUUUCUCUAGUACACAUAUGAAGACAAUUACCAAAGAUUAUAGGGAACCAUCAACCUCCACUGGAAAUAACAAAGAAGUAAUUCAAGUUAAGAUGAGGGACAAGGUCAUUAAAUCGAAACUGUGGAAAGACCAAUGAGAUUUUGAUGAUGAGAAGGGCUGGGGAGAAGGACUUGCUAGUUUUUCAUCUGCAGAAGACCACGAAGAGUUUGAUCAUGAUAGUGCAAGAGAGGACAUUAAUGCUCAAGGCAAGCCAAAACUUCAAGGGAAACCAGCGAACAACAACUUGAACCAUAAUGCUCCUGUAUGUGUUCCAAGAAAUACUACAAAAUCAAGCGAAACAUCAGCUGCUGAUUGAAACGCAACAACACUGGCAACAUCUUGCCAGAAUCAGAUUGUACCAACAGAAUCAAUCACUACUUUCGAGAAGAGGAAACUGUCGGAUGCAAUGAGGCAACCUUCGCAUUCAAGAGAGUGGCAGCAAAGGAAUGCAACAACACCAACUAAUAUUUCUUCUGCUGAUAGCACCACAGUACCACUUUCACAAACAAGGCAGUACCAGCUUGUAUCAACAGCUCCAGUAAUCACUCUACAGGACAGAUAAUUCCUGGUUGCGAGGGGAGGAAGACAUAUAUAUGAAGAAGUAGAGGAAUAGGAUAUCAUACCGCAAUGCCGUGCAGACGCUUUAAGAAAAGGUGAUUUGUCACCAAUACAUAGUAAACAAGUAAGAAGUCUCGUGAAAGGGAUAGAAGUUGGGAUGGUAGGGUGUUUGAAGACGCAAACAUAAGCUGGCCCCCAAUGAGAAAUGCAAAACAAAAAUAUGUCACUCAAACAAUUCUUACGAAGUCCAAUCGAUCGAGGAACAAAGCAUGAAUUUUGAAGUCAUAUUGAAAAAAAUUGUGGACGAGGACAAUAAUCUACAAAUUGAAUUUUUCACAAAAUUGGCGAAAUGAGAGCACCUUGAUGGCUUCUUCAACUUUCUAUUUUACCAUCUAAUUAGUAUUAUUCUAUGUAAUAUCAUCACAGAGCAUGCUAUAAACUCUGUGAUGAUCAUACAUUUCUUAGUUCUUGCUACUUCUUUCUUUUUACAUGCUUGUUAGUUCAUGAGGAUUUUAUUGGCCUCAAUAGGAUUAAUAAGGUAAGGUUUACGCCGGUUGUGUUAUAUGGGUAACAAUACCGGUUCUAGCCCCCUCAUUUGAUCUUUCCUAUUUGUUGUAAUUUUCAUUUUCAUAUUAUUAAUGAAAUUUAGCCCUAGGCGCUUGCCUAGUGGAUUGCCAAAAAAAUUGCUAUAGUUGACUUUGGUCAACAUUUUGGGUAAACGGACCAAGAACCGUGAUGUGACGUUCCCGGAGGGUCUGUAAGGAAAUUUGGGACCCGGGCGUAUUCCCGAAAUGGAAAUCUAAGGCCCAGGCCCGAGUACAGAGCUUUUCUGUGAAAUUGUUUAAUGAAUAUGCUUAAGGAAAAAUGAAAAUAGAAAUUGAUAAAAAAUAAUGGUAUCGGCUCGUAUUUUGGUUCCGACGCCCGGUACAAGUCUUAAAUGGGCGUUAAGUGGUAUUUGUAAAAUUUGGUUGAAAAUGUACGUCGUUUGACGUGUUUCGGACUAAAAGUGGAAUUUUUGAAAAUUUUGAACUUAGAAAUGGAAAUCAUGAGUUUUGGAGGUUGAUUUUGUGAUUUUAAUGUUAUUUUAGCGAUUUGAUCGCUCGAGCAAGUUCGUAGGAUGAUAUUGAGUUAGUGUGCGUGAUUGGUUGGGAGCCUCGAGGGCUCGGGAGUGUUUUCAGGGGUGGUUCAGGGUGUUUUUGGCUCUUUGGACUUAGUAGAUUUUCUGCAACUGUUGCCCAGUGAUUUUGUUCUACGCGAUCGUUGCCUCUACCAGGUGAUCGCACUACUUUGACUCGUACGUUUACACGAUCGCAUCGUCGUUCACGCGAUCUUCCAGCUUCCUCUUCUCUGUGUUCGCGUACUAGUCCACGCGAUCGCAUUGACCAAUUCACCUCCUAGUGACUUUUCCUCUACGCGGUUGCAGCACUCUUCAUACGAUCGUGUUGCUCCCAUGUUUCCUUCACCGCGAUCGCGUCCCCAUUCCUGUUGUCACGAACGACAUUUUCGCCCAGUGAUUUUAAAAGUCUAAAUCAGACCAUUGAUUGGUGAGGAACAGUGAUAAAGUACGAUGGGUGAUGCUGUACACAUUAAUUGAUUAUCUUGGUGAGGACGAGAGUAAAAACACGAUGGGUGGUGCCGUGCAACGUUUGAUUUACUGGGUUCCUUUUAUUGAUGUUAAUUAUACAUUUUCCAUUUCUUUGCUUGUCGAUUUUAUAAUUGAACUGUUAUACCCCUCAGCAUGUCCGCUCCCCAUUAUCUGUUUAAUUUUUGUUAUCUUUCCGUUAUUGCCCAUAUAUCUGUACAGGUUGAGUGUAAUAGGUCCAGUUUAGCCUCGUCACUACCUCGCCGAGGUUAGGCCGGGAAAUUACCAGCACAUGGGGUCGAGUGUGCUGAUACUACACUUCUGUGCCAUUUUUGUGCACAGGUAAGGACACAGCCUUCGGACCGCAGCAGUAGCUAUGGCACGACCCUUCAGUCCACAGACUCUGAGGUAGUUUGCUGGCGUUCGCCGGCCCUGAGUCUCCUCUAUCCAUUUCUUUCAGUUUGUUUAAUUGUAUCAAACAGACAUGUCAUGUAUUCCUUUCAUACUGUUGCUUUUACUACUCUUUUAGUCGUUUGUGAUUAGUGACAUCAGAUACUAGGUAGAGGCAUGUUGUUAAUUUUCCGCAUUUUGUCAUUUCUUCUAUUGCUAAAAGUCUUCCGUGUGUUUUAAUUAAAUAUUUCUGUAUAUAAUUUGCUUUAGAUUAAGGUUAAUGUGAAACUUAAUAAGGGGUUGGCUUGCCUACCUUCGAUAGUAGGCACCAUCACGACUCCCGAUGGUGGAUAAAUUCGGGUCGUGACAUUGGAAGUAUUCACUUUACUCGCUACACCUUGUGUGCAGAUCCAAGGCGGUCUCAGGCUGAGUGAUUCCAGUGGACUCAGAGUGCUUUCAGGAGUAUUUGAGGUAGCUGUAGGGUGUUCGCAGCCGAUGAUUCUCCCUUCUAUCUUUAUCCUUUAUUCCCGUAUUAUCAGUGUUAAAUAAACUUUGUAUUAGGAUAUUAUUAUGUCAGUAGAGGCUCAUGGUCGUGGCACCGAGUCCUCGUUAGGCUGUUUCAGUAUUUGUCUGAUUUUCCAUUUUUUUAUCAAUAUUCAGACUUUGACUUAAAUGGUUUUUAUCUUUACAUGUUAAAUAAUUGGAGUAACCGUUAGAAAUGGUCGGGCUUGCCUAGUAGUGUGUUGGGCGCCAUCACGACCGGGUGGGGGUCGUGAAAAUUUCAGGCCAAGUUUAAGUCAAUAAAGCAACUGUGCUAGAACCACGAGACUCGGAGGAUGCCUUAUACCUUCUCCCCACUCAACAGAAUUCCUUACCCAAACUUUGUUUUUGCGGACCGAUUAGUAUAGAGUCAAACCUUCCUUUGACCAGGGAUCCAAAUAAAUGGUGACUUGGAACACCAAAAAAAUCAUUUUCAAGUGGCGACUCAAAACAAUAAAAUAAUACCUAUUCAAAUUUGGUCCCUUUAAUUGAAAAAACUUUUUGACCCAUCACCAUAUCAUUUUUCGAGGGGUAGAAAAGAGGUGUGACAGUAUGGAUCCCGCUCCCAUCACAAACUAAUAAAAUAUGCUGCCGCUUGCAGCCCGAUCCCAUUGUACCACUCACACUCAGGCCAUCGGGCUCACAAUUCCAUGAAACAAGCCCAAAAUGGCGAUAUGAUGUGUUAAUAAAUAGAAACAGAGAUGGGUAUAUGAUAUGAAAUGAAUGAACAUGACUGAGUAUAAAAUUACAAUUUAAGCUAAUAAGUCAAUAGAAAUAUAAACUCAGUGGGUCCCAACAUAAUAAACAUGUAGCCUAGACAUGGUUUCUAAUAUGGAUAAUAGCUCAAGAACUCAAGUACGUAGAGAUUUCAAGGUUACAGAUAAGAUCAGGUAACUAAACAGUACCACAGGAAUAACGUAGUCCCAAUUCCCACGGUGCACGCUCACACGCCCGUCAUAUAUCAUGUGUGUCACCUCAACACCAAACACAUAAAAUUUGAUUCGGGUUUCAUGCCCUCAACAUCAAGCUUAAAAGUGUUACUUACCUCGAAAACGCCAAAUUCAAUACCUAAUAAGCCAAAUGAUGCUCCAAAAAUGUCACCCCUCACUUAUCGACCAUUGAUCGACUCAUAACUAGCCAAAAGCAACACACACGAAUUAAAUAAUUCCAAAGAAAACAAACUCAAUAGAUAAAGUUUGAAUCUUAAUCAAAAUCCCAAAGUCGACCAAAAUGCCAAACCCGAGCCUGGACCUCGGGACCUUACAAAACUCACAAAAUCCGACAACCCAUUCAAUUACGAGUCCAAUCAUAACACUUUCACUUAAAUCCGACUUUGAAUUGAUGUUUAAAAACACAAAAAUAUACUUUAUGUAAUUUUAGAUAAGACCCAAAAUUUCACUUUGAAAUCAUCAAUCAAACGCUAAAAACGAAGACAGAUUCAUGAAAUAUAACUAAAAUCAAGUAUAGAACAGUUACCCCAAUCCAUAUGGUGAAAAUUGGCUCCAAACAUUAUACAAAUCCGAGUUCUGUGGCUCAAAAUAUGACAAAAUAAACAAACCUUUGAUAUUAAGUAUUUUGCACAUCUAUUUUACCUCAUUUUGUGUGCAAAACAAUCCUGAAACUUUCUUUUUAUGCAUCCAAUGGUUUUUUUUUUGUUGUUGAAAUUUUAGUUAUCUUAGGCUUACGAAUAACUUCAUUUGACUUUGUAAUGAAGAAGAUAUGUUGGUUUCAAUAUUUUAAAACAGUGCAGAUUUUUAAUAUGAAGUUAGUGGGAAUUUUGUAAUUAAUAUGAUAAAUCUGACAACCCAAUUCUUAGUGAAAUGAUCAUAAAAUCCUCAUACGAUGUCCAAAUUCGAUGAUACUUUUUGCUAUGAUUCCGUAAUUACCAUAAGGAUUUAAUGCUUCAGUAAAAAUAGAAAUUUGGGCUCAUUUUGUUUAAUGUUAUACCAUUUAUGCUUGAAGAAACAACGUCGAAACUUAAGAAAAACGAGCGCAAUACAGUCCAAACCUAAAACUCACUUGAGCCCCUCGGGACUCCUUUGAACAUACCAAUAAGUCCCAUAAUAUAAUACAAUCCUAUUCGAGGCCUCAAAUCACGCAUAACAAUAUUGAAACGAUAAAAUGUACCCUAAAUCUAACAUAAUAAACUUUCGAAACUUUAAACUUCCAAAAACUUACGUCAAAACAUAUCAAAUCAACUCGGAAUAAACUCAAAUUUACAAGUCCUAAACCAUUAUAUGCAGCUACUCGUGCCCUAAAACUAUCGAGCAAAGUGCAAAUGCUCAAAAUGACCGAUCUAAUUGUUACAGUAUUAUCACAUAUGAUGUCAAAGUCAAACACCUCCGCCAACUUUUAGUAAUAGACAUCCUACUCCUCCAAACUCAAUUGAGAUUUUUUAUAUAUAUAUAUNNNNNNNNNNNNNNNNNNNNNNNNNNNNNNNNNNNNNNNNNNNNNNNNNNNNNNNNNNNNNNNNNNNNNNNNNNNNNNNNNNNNNNNNNNNNNNNNNNNNNNNNNNNNNNNNNNNNNNNNNNNNNNNNNNNNNNNNNNNNNNNNNNNNNNNNNNNNNNNNNNNNNNNNNNNNNNNNNNNNNNNNNNNNNNNNNNNNNNNNNNNNNNNNNNNNNNNNNNNNNNNNNNNNNNNNNNNNNNNNNNNNNNNNNNNNNNNNNNNNNNNNNNNNNNNNNNNNNNNNNNNNNNNNNNNNNNNNNNNNNNNNNNNNNNNNNNNNNNNNNNNNNNNNNNNNNNNNNNNNNNNNNNNNNNNNNNNNNNNNNNNNNNNNNNNNNNNNNNNNNNNNNNNNNNNNNNNNNNNNNNNNNNNNNNNNNNNNNNNNNNNNNNNNNNNNNNNNNNNNNNNNNNNNNNNNNNNNNNNNNNNNNNNNNNNNNNNNNNNNNNNNNNNNNNNNNNNNNNNNNNNNNNNNNNNNNNNNNNNNNNNNNNNNNNNNNNNNNNNNNNNNNNNNNNNNNNNNNNNNNNNNNNNNNNNNNNNNNNNNNNNNNNNNNNNNNUAUAUAUAUAUAUAUAUAUAUAUAUAUAUAUAUAUAUCCGCCAACUUUUUGUAAUAGACAUCCUACUCCUCCAAACUCAAUUGAGACUAUAUAUAUAUAUAUAUAUAAAACUUAUCAAUACAACCGUUUUAUAGAAUUUAAAGAAGCGAAAACUAAUAAUCAAUUGUAUAUAAGUUAUCGACCAUAAAUAAUGAAAGAAUAAGCAUAAUAAAAAUAAUUUUCUUGUAUAAAUAAUUUUAUAAAUGCCAAUUAAAACUCGAAAGUUUAUAAAAUUUAGCGAGAAUUUUAUAAACAUAUUUUUAAAGCUCGUAAUAUAAAAAAGUAAUUCGAAAUAGAGGUAGAUCUUACAAUAAGAUCCUAAAAGAUUAUAUAUUAAUACCUUAAUUGUGUUUUAAGUUAAAAUUUGGAACAUAUAUCAUUAGUUGACAUUACAAAUUCAAACAUCUAUACACAUAAUAAAGAAUAAAAGAAAAAGUAAAACUUAAUAUAAUCAGUUAAUACACAUAAUAUUAAAAUAACAAUCGUAAAUAACUUUUUAACAAAUUCAUAAAAUGAGCAUUCUUAUUUAAUUAUAAAACUAUAAGAAGAUAUAAGAUAAUAUAAAAUUCAGGUGAAAACACUUAGGUAGGAUAAAAUAUCGUAUACAAUAUAAAGUAUUAAAACAUAGAGUGGAAUUGAAACUAUCAAGGGAAAAAUAGACUUUGUUUUUUCAUUUGGUGUCCGAGACUCGCAUUAGAGUUCGACUAUAUCCGAAUUCGUUCUGGAUAAGGCCCCAUUCGAAAGGAAGAGCUCUCUGCAAGAAUUUUUUUAUAUCCAGGACUUAAAUUCAAGGCCUUUGGUUAAGGACAAAACAACCCUAUCCACUGUACCAUAUUACUUGGGAAAUUAGACAUUAAAGUAACUAAUGGGACGACGAGAAUGUUUAAUGUUUAAUGUAGAGGUGUUUGAUUUUGCGAAAUUGCAUUAUCUAAAUGAUUAUCACCUGUCAAAAAACCUUAAAAGUCAAACUAUAUAUUUGGGAUGUGACACUUAAGAUAUAGACAAGAACAUGAAAGAAACCCCCCAAUUGACUAACUCCUUUCGUUUCACUUUUUUUUUUUUUUGGCGUGACACUUUCACGACCCAUUAUUCACAAAGAGUUAUGAUAAAAUCGGACACUGCUAUUGGAUAAACCAACACGAAAAAGUUUAUUGAAUGUCCACUUUAGUAUUUAUUGAAAUCAUUUCUCUUAUACAUUAAAUAAUAAAGAAUUAAAUUCAUUAAUAAUAAUAAUGAUGUCUUUAAUAAAUUUAAUAUUUUAUAAUCCCAUAAUUAUUUCAGAACCCGAUGUCACAAGUGCAUGAGCAAUUUCUAGAAAACAAUGUGCAAUACUAUACUCUGAAAGAGACUCUGCUGGCUGCAGAGUGUCUCAGCUAAGUCUCUGUGUCAACCAUGCCGUUGUGCCCAACGAGGCCACUACACCAAUAUGUGCCUCUGCAACAAAAAUACACAGUAAGUGCAUCAUGAGUACAAAUAAUAUGUACCCGAUAAGUAUCCCGUCUAAUCUCGAAGAAAUAUAGACGAGAUGUUGACUUCGACACUUACUAGUGGUCCAAUAAUAAUAUACCAAUAAUAUAGUAAAUCAAGGAUUUUUAUAUGAAUUGUUGUAACUCAAUAGUAUGGAACAAGUAAACAAUUCUUUAAUUAAUAGGGAAUUUGCAAAUUUAUUUUUCAUCAUUUAUACAUUCAUCUCAGGCCAGGGAGGCAAUAUCAUUAUGUAUAAAUUUGCAAGUCAAGCUAUACAAGCAUGUACAAAUCAUGAUGAGGAUGUACAGCCUGAUCCAACAUAAUACUUAAAUGGUUUACUGCUAGAGGGUCGAAUGGCGCGAAAUAUAGAUGCAUCUAUCGUAUCUACGAGGCGUUCGGCCAGUUCGACAAUGGAUAAACACAUUCAAACAGUCAAUCAAGAAUUUAUCAAGGAGCAAUUAUCUAAGAAAAGUCAAUUUCUCAUUUUAACGUCGAGAAAACGAUGUCUAGAUUUUUUAGAAAUUUAUUUACAAGGUUCAAUAUGUUUUGAGCACUUUAAAUUGACAACAAGAUUACAAAUAUAACAAGUAAAGCAUGCUUUUGGGUCCUAGAUUACCGGGCUUAAACAUAAUAGUAGCUACGCGCGGACUCUCUUCACCUCAUAUAUACGUAGCCACCACAAUAGUAGCACAUAGUUAAGUAGAGAAUACCUAGUGGUACAAGAUAACUCUCUACUUUGAUCUCGGCCACCCCACGGUGAAAAACCGUAAUACGCCUUGAGGAAUUUCUACCAGGCUGGUCUGCAAUAUUCACCCUGGCCCAAAAGAAAAAAUCCUCGGCGUAUUUUACCUAUGGGGACAAUUCUCUCUUACAAGAUUAGAAAGGAGAUUCAUCUCACUCCGAAGUACCAUAACCGACAUUAAAUGCUCUUUCGAAGGCUCAUAUCGAUGCACAAUGAUAUAAAAUUAGCCAAUAAUUAUGCAAACUCAUUAAUUUAUACUCAAUUACUUAUAAUAAUCCAAUCUAUAACAAUUUCUAACCCCGAUCGAAAAGUAAUUAAAAUUUCCCUUGGGCCCACGUGUGCCGAUUCCAAAAUUUUUCGAAGGUAAGGUUUACCCACAACCUUGCGAAUUCAAAUAUAUAUUUUACUAUCAAUAUCGUACCCAUAAUUGUAGUCAAAAUCCAAGAAUACCCAAUUUCUAGUGUUUCCUCAAAAUCCUAAAUUUCCACUAAUGUUUAUGUCCAAAUCCAAAUAUAAUCAUGUAUUUAACUCAUAACUAGCAAAAUCACUUACCUCAUCCAUGGUGGUAAUAAUGGCAUUCCCAGGUUGCUCCAAAAUGGCUCCCAUGAAAAAAAUGGAGUAAAAAUGAGACAAAGCCCAAUUAUAAAUAACCUCAUUGCCUCCAGCCUUUCCGCCCCUGCGGUCACUUGACCGCUUCUGUGGUGCCGCAGGUGCGGCCCCAAAACCAUUUCUGCAGUCCUUCACCAGGCCUCUCAACUCCGCAUCUGCGGACUUUGACAGCAUCUGUGGUCCACACCUUCCCCAACCAAAAAUCUUCUUCUGCGGGUCACUUUCUAUCACAACCCGAAAUUUCUACCAUCGUGAGUCAUGAUGGUGCCUACUAAUGAGAGCUAAGAAAGCCAACCCUUAACUACCUACCUCAUUACAGGAUUACUUUUUGUUUUUAAACAAAUAUAAGUGAUAACAUAUAAAUUGCGAAGCAUAAUUAAUUAAGGGGAAGAUAACCAUGAAAUAUCUUAAAUCAGCAUCUAUUACAACUUCUGGAACCUCAAAUAUCCAAAAUCUGGUAUCACAGUGUCACAGACUGUCUAGGAUUACUACAUACAAGGUUUGAACAAAUUACCGUGUACUGUUUCUAAAUAAAAGAAAAAAGAAAUAGGAAAUAGAGAUAGAGGGAGACCCAAGGCCUGCGGAUGCCUACAGGUCUAUCUUGGGUCUUCGAGUGGACGGAAGUAAUCACUCCAACUACAGUUCGAUAGCUGCUCUGGGAUCUGCACAUAGUACAGAGUUUAGUAUCAGCACAACCGACCCCAUAUACUGGUAAGUACCUAGCCUAACCUCAGUGAAGUAGUGAAGAGGCUAGGACCAGAAUACUAAUUAAACUUGUGGGAUUUAACUAUAUGCAACAAAAAAGAAGUACAGAAAGAGACAGUCAUAUACAUUCAAGUAUGGGAGGGGGAAUAACAUGCUGUGGGAAAACAUGAAAUAGUAACAGAAGAGCAACAAUUAAAUAUGUGGAUCGCCACAAUUCAAUUGAAAAUAGGAAGGGAAAAUCAUAAUGCAGGGUACAAGAAGUAUCAACUGGAAAUAAAAAAUAUUGGUGUAGAAAAACCCUAACACAGUUGUCAAUAAAUAUCAGAAAAUCAAAGACAAAUGUUCAAUAAAUAUUAGGAAAUCAAAGACAAGUACACGACAUCACCCAUCGUGCUUUUACUCUCUCUCACAAAAAGAAUACACGACAUCAAACAUCGUGCUUUAACGCUCUCUCUCCAAAGCGAUACGCGGCAUCACCCUUCGUGCUUUACGCUCUUCCUCACCAAACAACAAUCACAAGAAAAAUAGGGUUACGGAAUCUAUAGCAAAUAAAAAUAGAAAAUCAGUAAAUAAACGUAAGGGACAACAUAGCUCAAUUAUAAACAAGAAUUAUGAAAAUAAAAAACAAGUGCAUGGCAUCACCAUUCGUGUUUUUACCCUCGUCGUCACAUAAGAAUCAAUGUAAAUUGCACUGAAUCACCCUUCGUGCUUCUACUCUCAUCCUCACCAUGAAAUCAAUAUAAUAGGCACGACAUGUUAAAUCGUACGGUACGGCAUCACCCUUCGUGCUUUAUACUCUUUCCUCACAAAACAAAUAAUGCACCACAUUACCUUUCGUGCUUUAACUCUCUUCGUCCCCCAAACAACAAUCACAAACAAUAGGGCAAGGAAGUACAGGAAAUUUGCAAUAGGAAUUACGGCAAGGUAGCAACAAGUCAACAAUUAAAUUCCGACAAGGGAACAACAUCAAUAAUAUCCACAUCCCGACAAGGGAGAUAACAGAUAAAUCAACCAUAGCCCGACAAGGGUGACAAAAUAAUAAUUUCUCCUCUUUCUCACUUUUACUUCACAAUUCACUUCACAACUCGAGCCAAUGCUCUAGAGGUUCAAUUUUCACUUAUGCCUUCACAACUCAUUUCACAACUCGAGCUAAUGCUCUAAAAGUCCAAUUGUCACAUAUAUUUUCACAAUUUGCAACAAUACUUGAGCCAACGCUCCUCAAUGUUCAUAGGCCACAAUCCUUUCCACAAACUUUAUACAACAAUUAGAAAUCUUCACAAAGGCAUGAAUAAUACAAUGAAAUCAUGAAAAUCACAAAAUAGGACUCACAAUCAUGCUUGAUACUAGCAUAUAGAUACUCGUCACCAUGCCUAUACGUCGUACUCAACAACUACGACAUAGCAAAUAGGACUAAACUCCUAAUCCCUCAAGCUAAGGUUAGACCAAACACUUACCUCGAUGCUACGAACAUAACUGAAGGUUCAAUUAUACCUUUAUCCAUUGAUUCAACAGCUAAUUCGCUCGUAUCUAGUCACAUAUUACUUAAUUACAUCAAUAAAUGCUAAGUAAAUCAACUCCAAUGAAUAAAGAUGAGUUUUCUAAAGUUUUACCGAAAAAGUCAAAAAUUACCCCCGGGCCCAUGGUCAAAACCGGAGGUUCGAACCAAUGACCGAUUAUCUAUUCUCCCACAAAUCCAAAUAUAUGAUUUGCUUUGAAAUCGGACCUCAAAUUGAGGUCCAAAUUCCCAAGUUUUGAAAAAUCUAGGUUCUACAAAAAAAAACCGAAUUUCUCUCAUGAAAAUCAUUAAUAUUAAGUUGAGAUCAUGUUAAAGCUGUUAAUGAUUGAAGAAAACUAUUUAAAAUGACGUACAAUUGAUUUGAAGAAGAAGAAAUCCUUGAAAAAUUGCCUAAUUGUAUUUUUGUUUGAGAGAAUAUGAAAAAUGAGUUAUAAAAUCAGUUAAGUAUAAUAGUUGCAGGUAUGGGAAUUGCGAACCCCGACCUCUGCUAACAUGGAAUUGCAAAUGCAAACCCUUUAGAAAUCCCAAACAUUCGCAUUUGCGAAUCUAUUGUCACAUUUGCGAUCCCUGGCCAAUUGGAAAAUAUUCGCAUUACCUAGCAUUUGUGAUCCACUGCGGGCCUGGUCUAGUUUCGCAUUUGCGAUCCAGCCUUCGCAUUUUGCGAAGCACGCAGGCUUGAUCAUGCCAGCAAAACUUUCUGUAGUUUUUUAAGUCCCAAAUGUAACCCUUGGCCUAUCCAAAGCUCAUCCGAUCCCUUGAGUCUCUAAUCCAUAUAUACACACAACCUCAAAAAUAUCCCACAGACUAAUUCGUGUAAUAAAACCACCAAAAUAACCUUAAUAACAACAAAUUAAACCUCAAAAUCAUUGAAUUUUUCCUAAACUUCAUAAAACAUAAGUUUAGCAAUUUAGGUUCGAAUCACAUCAAAUGAUAUCCGUUUUAACCAAAUUUUACAAAAUGUCUUAAUCAUAUAUAGGACCUAUACCGGGCGCCGGAACAAAAAUAUGGGCCCGAUGCCAUCAUGUUCUAAUCAAAUUUCAUUUCAAAUUACCUUAAAUCGUUUCAAAAAAUAAUUUCCUUUAAAAACUUAUUUCGCGGGCUUGGGACUUUGGAAUUCGAUUCCGGGCAUACACUAAAGUCGCAUAUUUUCCUAUGGAGCCUCCAGAACCAUCAAAUCAUGGGUCCGAGUCCAUUUACCCAAUAUAUCGAACGAAGUCAAAUUAACUCAUUUUAUGAUAAAAGUAUAUAGUAUUUCAUAGAUUUUUAAAUAUUAGCUUUUCGGCACCCGGACUGUGCAUGCAAAUCGAUGUGACUCUAAAUAAAGUUUUUGAGGCCUCAGAAACAGAGAAUUUAGUUUAAAAUAUAGUGAUGACCUUCUGGGUCAUCACACUUUCCGCUACUGCGGCCCUCACCUGCGGUGCUCUUCACGCAGGUGCGGUUACAGCAGAUGCCUAACUGCUUCAUCCCUUCCUCAAAUUCCAUUCUCAAUCCGUUAAUCACCCGGAAUACACCCUAGGCCCCCGAAACCCCCGUCCAAUCACAUCAACCAGUCACAUAACAUAACUGCUUGAGGCCUCAAAUCACAUCAAACAACGCUUAAACCAUGAGUCACACUCCAUUCAAACUUGAUGAACUUUAGAUCUUAGAACGUCUUUAUGUCACGCUAAACCUAUCAAAUCGCUUUUGAUUGACCUCAAAUUUUAUAAACAAGUCGUAUUUGACGUUACGGACCUUCUCCAACUUCCUAAAUAGGAAUCGGACCCACAUAUCAAAAAUUCUACUUCCGGUCAAACUUCUAAAAAACCUUCAAAUUUCUAAAUUUCGCCAAAUGACUCCAAAAUGACUUACGGACUUCCGAAUCCACUUCCGGGCGCGCCCCCAAUAAAUAAUCCCCAUACAAAGCUUUUCCCAGAGUCAAAAUACCAAACGGACAUCCAUGAAACUGAAAUGCACUUCAACCCAACUUUAUGAAAUUCUUCCAAAAAUGCUAACUUCCUCAAUAGGCACCGAAACGCUCCCGGAUCAUCCAAAACCCAAUUCGGACAUACGCCCAAGUCCAAAAUCAUCAUACAAAUCCGUUGGAACCUUCAAAUUUCGAUUAUGAGGUCGUUUACUCAAAAAUCCUAUUCUUGGCAAUUCUUCCAACUUAUAGCUUCCAUAAUGUGAAUUCCUCUUCCCAAUCAACCCCAAACUUCCUGGAAUUCAAUUCCGACCAUGCGUACAAGUCAUAAUGCCUUAAGUGAAGUUGUUGCGCAUUGCCUCAAACAGGCGAACGAUGCGCUAUAGCUCAAAAUGACCGGUCAGGUCAUUACAUUAUCUCCCACUUAAACAUACAUUCGUCCUCGAAUAUGCUGAGAACUAUACUGAAGUUCCCCGAAAUCACUAUUAAACAUCUCGUGCACCUACAUGUGCCACCAAUACUCAAUUGAGCAUAUUAUCUUGAUCAAAUCUUAAGAUAUCGUCUUUUAUUUAGGAAAAUGAGCCUUAGAUCCCAAUUUCAUCGUCUGAAAUUCUUUUCAUGGCUUACUUCCAAUAUAUGAAUACCGUAUCAAUCGCUACGCGAGGUACAAGAACGCGACUGCAUACCUUUUCUGAAUUCUCACCAUGCACCACAUCAUUCACAUGACCAUAUUAACAUUAUUUGAUUAUACUAAUUGACAUUCCUUGAAUCUGAUGCUCACAAUGUACCUCAUGACAUAUAUAAGUCAUGUUCCAACUCUUACAAUACCUCCACGAUGGAUUAGACGUGUAGAAAUUCAUAACCAACUGUCGAGUCAACAAAUCAUUGAGGCUAUACUCCUGACAAGAACCAUUCCCAGUCUGAAUAUAAUAAUCAUUGAGGCUAUACUCCUGACAAAAACAUUUACCUCAUUCUGAACCAAAUAAUGACAUUUGCUCUUUAUUAUACUUUAUAUAAUCCGAUUGCACUGCUCCUAGAUCGAAAAAUCUUGUCUCACCUAGUAGGAACUCCUCAUGAAGCAAGCCACCCUAGACAUGAUCAAAGUCUCAUAUGAUGCCACAAUGUGUCAAUAGGCUACCAACUCGAACAUGAUACAUAAGGAAAAUGAACUCCAGAAGGGACUACUCAACUCACGCAGCUAAUAUGAACUUUCCUCGAAAAAUAGAAAACAAAACACAAAAAUUUAGAAUAUAAAAAGAUGUACUCAAUAUCAUACUAUUGUGGCGUGCAACCCUAUUCCAAUAACAUGUCUGUGGCUGUGUGCCACCCGAUCCACACAUAAAACUCACAUAAGGAGUUACACACCGAGCUAAAUUGCUCAAUACUAUAAAAUACCACAUAGCGGUCACAAUCACGGUAAGUGCAUAAUACCAUCCCUGAGUGGGGGGGNNNNNNNNNNNNNNNNNNNNNNNNNNNNNNNNNNNNNNNNNNNNNNNNNNNNNNNNNNNNNNNNNNNNNNNNNNNNNNNNNNNNNNNNNNNNNNNNNNNNNNNNNNNNNNNNNNNNNNNNNNNNNNNNNNNNNNNNNNNNNNNNNNNNNNNNNNNNNNNNNNNNNNNNNNNNNNNNNNNNNNNNNNNNNNNNNNNNNNNNNNNNNNNNNNNNNNNNNNNNNNNNNNNNNNNNNNNNNNNNNNNNNNNNNNNNNNNNNNNNNNNNNNNNNNNNNNNNNNNNNNNNNNNNNNNNNNNNNNNNNNNNNNNNNNNNNNNNNNNNNNNNNNNNNNNNNNNNNNNNNNNNNNNNNNNNNNNNNNNNNNNNNNNNNNNNNNNNNNNNNNNNNNNNNNNNNNNNNNNNNNNNNNNNNNNNGGGGGGGGGGGGGGGGUGCACAUAUAGCACCAUAAGCUACAAACUCAAGAACAACUGAGGUACGACAUAUGAUCUGAAGCUCAAGAGCCAUCCUGCUCACGUAACACCAUUGCUCUGAAGCUCAAGAGCCAUUCUGCUCACAUAACACCAUUGCUAUGUGGAACAACAACACAUAAAAAAUUAUCAAUUUGUUUAACAACUCACAUGGCGCAAUUAAUAUUACCUAAAAUAGCUUACGCCGAAACAACCUCCAACGUUCGAAUACUCCUCCAUAAAGAGUUUUAUGCUGAAAUGAACAUACCCAGCCUGAUAUACAUAAUCACAUUUAAAUCCAUCCAUAAACCUUAAGCCGAUUUGAUUGCAAUGUACUAGGAUAAUAAACUUUCAAGGAUCCAUAAUAACCCCUUUCUCCUAUAACUUAGAAGAACAACCAUCAUAACUGAAGUAACCUCCACAGUCCACAACCCGAUAAAUGUAGUUCCUCUCGGCACAAAUUCUCAAAUUAGCAAUGUUACCACAAUCUUCAUAAUUGGUUUAAAUUCCCAACCAAUGAAAUGACUACAUGUCACACUCAUUCAAUCUUCCCGUGAGACACGCUCCGACGACCCUUUAUACCUGAUAACAAGUCUGCCCAUCGAUACCACCGGCAGCACUAACGGUAUAGAGCAAAUCAAGAAUCCAUAACCAAGAUGCAAAACCUCUUUCAUAAAAGACCGAUCUCAGGUGACACUGAAGAUAAUACUAGCUUAAUUUUAAUAUUCAAAUCCUUUUCUUACUCAUCCAAGCUUGUGAUAUCCUUGUCAACACCGAACGGCAACCUUGAUCCUCAAUUCAAAAUUUCAUACCCCUCACUGCACCUAACAUGCCAGUAUGCGAUAGCUCCAGAACAUGAUCAUAACUCUGAACCACUAAUAGGGUAAUCACUUCAUCACCUAGAAACCUUUUACUCUACUCAUUCGAAGAGAACCAUAGCAACACGCGAGUAACAUCUCAUAAAAGUAGGACAUUAAAAUCCUCAAGUAGUGGUCUGAACCACCAUAACCCUUCCGGGAUCCGCCUACACAUAACAUACCAUAAUAUUUCAAUACAUCAAAAUAAAAUCAUAUGAGACAGCCGUCAACCCUCACAUCUACCGCCACAAAUCAAUUCAUAAAUAAUCAUGCUAAAGGAACUUAUCACCGCCACCGUUAUGCCAAUUCAACCAUGGAUAACCAAACUAACCUCCUCUAAUUAAUCAUUAAUUUGCCUUAGAGAAAAUAAUAGCAUCUCCAUUCCUCACAUCUACAACCUAGAUCCGCACUCAUCUUGAGUGACCCCAUUCCAAGAGACCACAUUGUCUCCAACCCAUGAACUGCUCAUACCCUCCUUGCACGCAUAUUUGCACCGUCAACUAUAUACCCAUUAUGAUAAUUCCUCUAUGAAUCCGAAGUCAUUUUCUCUUCUUCUUCCAAAUGCUGCAUUGCAAGCCAAAAAUAUCAUAGAACAUUUCGAGCCUCUUAUCAAUAUCCGCUAUAAAAAGCACGAUUCUUAACCAUAUUGCGGGCUUGAAAUCUUAGACACCGCACUUUUAACCUUCGACUUCACUAGGACCUUUGUUGAGAGUCACCACUAUGGCUUGGACUCGAAUAUAGUCAACUUGAACGCUUCGCUGGCACAUAAACACCACUCUAAAUGAAGCACUCAACUGAAUCACUUCCCUUGUAAAUCACCUCUUUACAAAUCAUACAACUUGAAUCUUUCCAAAUCCCAAGCAUGAGUCAAUAAAUCCGACUACAACACACCAUUGUCAAUUCCUUUGCUCAAAUUACUACUUAUUUUCUUUUCCCUCAGCUGUAAUAUCUCCUCGAUGCAGUAGUAACCCGAACCUCACUAGUAGAUAACCAUGCAACCUAAUCAUAGGCGGUGGGAAUCUCCCACUAAGCUUACAGCCACAUGUUUUAUAACAUUAGAACCCACCAAGGUUGUUUACCUCUCAUUGACAUGACCUUGCGCAACCCAAUCGCCAAAUACCUAGAAAUCCUUCCAUUAGCAUUACAUGAAAGCUUUGAAUCUAUGGUAUUAUUUACAUAUUUGACCUCUUACUAGAUAGUUAGUAAGAUCAUUCCAGAAGCUUCUCCAACCAUGCGACCGCUGCUCAGCUCAUAAGAGAUAACCAACUUAUGGAAAUUACACACCGACAACGUCAUUGUACGGGGUACAAUUACUACGACACCUAUAACGCAUCCUGAGCCCGUGAUCAUUCACCAACUGUACUAGUCCGUUCACUUCUUAUGGACAUCAACUAAAUAUGCGACAAUAUCUUCCAAUUAAAAGUUAUAUUGCAUCCUUCUUCGUACAAACAACUCUCUUCUUGUUGCAUCCAGUAUCCCCAAGGUAUAAUAGCUGCUAUUUCAAAUUAAGCCCGUGGACCUACUCUCUGUCCACUAUAACUCCCAAAUCAGUCUAAAUAUAUUCUCAAGGUGUGUAGUCAUCCUGCCAUUGAACCCAUGUGCUACUCUGCUACUCUCCCAGUUUGGGACAAACUCCUUUUCUUCAAGAAACUACUCGACUUUUGCUUCUUACACAUGGCCUUCUAGAGAGUUAACUAUCAUAUGACACUCCCCAUGUGUCCUUCCUUAUCAUUUGCUGCUCAGCUGAUCCCUUAGAUCAAAAAUCUAUCUGGGUAACGCUUGAACUAAUAGUUCGCUACUAACUUUAAGCCUUUCCGAAGGUCAUAUUUCACGACCCAUCGACAAUAGAAAUAACGAUUCAAUCUUGAACCGCCGCACCCCACAAUCUCUGACAGCCGCUUCUUUGAUACUAUGACACAAUAUCCUUUCCCAAAGACAAAUCGUAGAAGAUCAUAACACCAUCGAACUUAAAAUAUUCAAUCGAGGACGACGAUACCUCAUAGAAAAUAAAAAUUUCACCACACUUGAAAACACCAAGUCCCAUUACUCUAUCAACCCAAAACUGAACGUUUAUAGUCCGAUUUACUUUCCUCCGCCAGAAAUACAAUACCGUAACCUCCUUCUAAUUCAUACACUACUUUCACGCAUGGACAAGCAUCCCACAAUCACAUCAAUUCUACGCGAAUGCCAUCCAUGAGUAUCAUAGAAACCAGUGCAUAGCCUCAAAGCUAUCCGAAGUACAUCUACGAAGCUAAAAUGAUAGGGUAUCCUUCUGCAAGGCAACCGCAACAGCCCAGUAAAAUAUGCAUGGAGAAACAUCCGGCACACCAUUUGUAGUACUAUUACAAUUCUUCAUGACUCAUAAGACCUAUCGGAAUCUAGGUAUCUGAUACCAUGUUUUCGCAACCCAAAUUCAACUAUGUUGUGAUGGCGCCGGACACCGCUACCGGGAAAUCCAACACCAAAAAGUUAAUUAAAUUUCUAUUUUAGUAUUUAUUGAAAUCAUUUCUUUUAUACAUUAAACAAUAAUUAAUGAAAUUCAGUAAAAUAAUAUCAUUGUCUUUGACAAACGUAAUACUGAAUAAUCCCAUAAUCAUUCCAGAACCCGAUGUUACAAGUGCAUGAGCAGUUUCUAGGAAAUAAAAUACAAUACGAUAUCUGUCGGGAAUACGGUUGAACAAAAAAUAACUACUAUACUCUGAAAGAGACUCUGCUGGCUUCGGGUUGUCCCGAGAGAUGCAGCUCACCUAAGUCUCGUGUCAACCAUGCCACUGCACCCAAUGAGGCCACUAGACGAACACGUGCAUGUGCAAUUAAAAUGCAUAACAAGCGUAGCAGGAGCAAGAAAAUAAUGUGUACCGAACAAGUAUCCUAUCUAAUCUCGAAGAACUAGAGACAAGAGAUCGACUUCGACACUUACUAGUUGUCCAAUAAUAACAUAGUAAAUCAAGGUUUUUCAAUGAAUGACUGUAACUCAAUAGAAUGAAGCAAGUAAACAGUUCUUUCAUUAAUAAGGCAUUUCCAAGUUUAUUUUUAUUUAUUUAUACGUUCAUCUCAUGCUAGGGAGGAAAUAUCAUUAAUUAUAAAUUUGCAAGUCAAGCAAUACAAGCAUGCACAAAUCAUGCCGAUCUCGUACAUUCGAUCCAACAUAAUAUUUAAAUUGUGCACUGCUAGACGGUUGAAUGGCGUGAACCAUGGAGGCAUCUAUUUAAUCUAGCGAGGCAUUCGACCCAUUCCACAAUACUUAAAAACUUUCUAAUAAGUCAAUUAAGAAUUCAUCAAGGAGAAAUUAUCCAAGAAAAGGAACUUUCUCUUAUUAAAGUUGACAAAACGAUGUGUAGCUUUUUCAGAAAAUUAUUUACAAGGUUCGAUAUGUUUUGAGCACUUUAAAUUAACAACUAGAUUGUAAAUAUCUCAAGUAAAGUAUGCAUUUCGGUCCUAGACUACCAGGACAUAAGCAUAAUAGUAGCUACGCACAAACUCUUGUCACCUCGUACGUACAUAGCCCCCACAAUAAUAGCACAUAGUUAAUUAUUUUACCUAUGGGGACAAUUCCCUUUAACAAGGAUAGAAAGGAGACUCACCUUGCUCCGAAGUCCCAUGACCAAUACUUCGCGCCCUUCUGAAGGCUUAAAUCGAUGCACAAUACUUCAAAACUAGCCAAUAAUCAUGCAAACCCAUUAUUUUAUGCUCAAUUACUUAUAAUAAUCCAAUCUAUAUAAUUACUAACCCCGAUCAAAAAGUUAACAAAAUUACCCUCGGGCUCAUGUGCCUGAAUUCCAAAAUUUUUUCGAAGAUAAACUUAACCCACAGACUCACGAACUUAAAUAUACAAUUUACUGUCAGUUUGAUAACCAAGAUCGCGGUCAAAAUUUAAGAACAUCAAUUUAUUAGGUUUUCCACAAAAUUCCUUUUUUUUCUAAUUCCCAUGUCCAAAUCGUAAUAUAAUCGUGUAUUUAACUAAAAACUAGCAAAAAUCACUUGCAUCAUGCUUGGUAGUGAAAAUGGCACUCCCAAGUUGCUAUAAAAUUGGAUCUCAUGAAUGAAAGGGAGUGAAAAUGAGCCAAACCCUGAUUUUAAAGAACCUCACUGGCUCAAAGUUUUCCGCACUUGCUGUCACUUGACCAUUUUUCCGGUGCCGGAGUUGUGGCCCCACAACCGCUUCUGCAGUCCUUCACUAACUCUCUCAACUCCGCAUCUACGACUCCACAAACACAGGUACGAUCCCGCAAGUAUAGACUUUGACCGCAUAUGUGGUCCACUCCUUUCCAAGCCAAAACAUUGCUUCUGUGGGUCACUUUACGCUCCUGUGGGCCCGCACUUGCGGUGGUCUUCAUGCUUGUGCAGUUACAACAGAUGCCUAGCUGCUUCAGCCCUUCCUUAUAUUCGAUUCUCAAUCCGUUAACCACCCGGUAUCCACCCAAGGCCCCCGGGACCCCGUCAAAUCACACCAACCAGUCUCAUAACAUAACGCGUGCCAGCUUGAGGCCUCAAAUCACAUCAAAUAAAGCUUCUAUUAGUCACACUCCAUUUUAAACUUGAUGAACUUUAGAUCUUUGAACACCUUUAUGCGAUGCCGAAACCUAUCAUGUAGCAUCUGAUUAACAUCAAAUUUUGCAUGCAAGUCAUAUUUUAUGUUAUAGACCUACUCCAACUUUCGUAAUCGGAAUCGUACCCCAUAUCAAAAAGUCCAUUUCGGGUCAAACUUCUAAAAAAUGUUCAAAUUUCUAACUUUAGCCAAAUGAUUCCAGAAGGACCUAUGGACCUCUGAAUCCACUUCCGGAUGCACCACAACAAGAAUAGACAUACAGAGCUAUUCCUAGAUUCAUAAUCCCAGACGAACAUUGAUAACGUUGAAAUGCACUGCAACCCAAUUUUAUGAAAUUCUUCCCAAAAUGCUAACUUUCACAAUAUGCGCCGAUACGCUCUUGGUUCAUCCAAAACCCAAUCCAGAUAUACGCCCAAGUCCAUAAUCAUCAUACGAACAUGUUAGAACCUUCAAAUAUCGAUUCCAAGGUCGUUUAUUGAAACAUCCAAUGUUUGCCAAUUCUUUAAACUUAAAGCUUUCGAAAUGUGAAUUCUCCUUCCCAAUCAACCCCGAAACUUCCCGGAAUUCAAUUCUGACCUUGGGUAUAAGUCAUAAUACUUGAAGUGUAGCUGCUCAUGGCCUCAAACUGCCGAAGGACACGCUAGAGGUCAAAAUGACCGGUCGGGUUAUUAUAGGCUCAAAAAGUUAUAAAGAAAUAAAUACUUCAGUAAAACAAAUUGUUACUUUUUGAGAAAUAAUUCAUGCAUCCGAAUCUAUUAUUUUUUGAGAAAUAAUUCACAUAUUCCAAUAAAUGAUUUUAACAAAAAUACUUAUAUUAGUUGUUGUUCCAAGCAGAGAUGCAAGCGGCAGAGGGCAAACUUUGCCGAAGGAAGAGCAAGACAUUUUCUGGAUAUUGCUUUAUUAGUGAAAACUGCAAUGAUGAAUGCAAAGAGAAAGAGGGCGAAAAGAGGGUUAUGUGCAUUAAGAAGAGCAUCUUCAGACGCAAUUGCUACUGCUACUACAAGUGCAAAUAAACAUCAUCUGCUCUCAGAAUUCUCAUUUUUUAUGUACUGUAAAUAGAAAAGGUGAUGGUUGUCUUGUGUGUCAAAGAAUAAAAAUACUACCAAUUCACUAGAAUUAUAGUAAAAUAGUACUAAUAUAUUGUACUAGCUUUUUCUUUGGGUCCGUAAUGUAUUUUAUGGGAUCAUGUGAAAUAACAUAAAUUUAUAGAAUUUAUUUUUUGAGCUGAGGGUCGAUUGGAAACGGCCUCUCUGCCCUUUCGGGUAGGCGUAAGACUCGUCUACAUAUUAGCCUCCUCAGACCCCACUUUGUGGGACUAUACUGGGUAAUUGUUGUUGUUGUUGUUGUUGUUGUUGUUAUUUUUUCUUAUUCUGAUUGAGAUAACUUGGCUAUAUUGAUUCGACAAACAUGUGAUGCAAAAUAUUGCGCCUUAUGAUGCAAUAGAAAGUCCUGUUUCCACAAAAAAACAUUGAUGCAUGAGGGAAUUAAGGAUUCCGUUUCUUACCAAACUUCACAUAAUUAUCUUAAAUCAUAUAUACGAUCUGUAUCGGGCGCCAGAAUCAUAACACGGUCCCGAUACCAAUAUGUUCUAAUAAAAAAUCAUUUCCAAACCUUAUAAAUAAUUUCAGAAAAUAAUUUCUUUUAAAAAAUUUUUUGUCGAGCAUAUGAUCUCGGAAUUUGAUUCUGGGCAUAUGCCCAACUUCCAUAUUUUCUACGGACCCUCUGGAACCGUCAAAUCACGGGACCGGGUCCGUUUACUCAAAAUAUUAACCAAAGUCAGAUUAAUUCAUUCUAUAGUGAAAAUCGUUUUUCACAGAUUUUUACAUUGAGGCUAUUCGGUUACGCAGCCAGACUACGCAUGUAAAUCGAGAUUAUGCUAAGCAAGGUUUUUAAGGCUUGAGAAUACAUAAUUUCAUUUUAAAACUAGUGAUGACCUUUAGGGUAAUCAUAUUAGGCAUGUCACUUAAUACGCCUUCCCUUCCCUACAUAUAUUUUUCGUGUGCAUAUCCAUGUACCGCUUAUCAGUCAUAUUAUAUGUGAGGCGAGACAGCUUUAGAGACUUUAAGGUAUAUUUUUCGCGUCUGCAGACCUCAGAGUCCCUUUCUGCUUUUCCCCAUGUCAAAUGUUUCUUGUAUUUCUCCCUUGUUUAGACUCUCGAGUAUUCAUUUAGUGUUUUCUUUCUGUUGUUUGUGACUUAUGAUAUUUCGGGUUUCGUGAAAGUCUAUGUACAGUUCGAGAGUGAUUAAUAUAUCUUCCAAGUGGCAUCUAAAUUUCAUAUAUAAAAUACCUGUUAAUUUUUAACUUUAAUGUUUCCGUCUCAUUUUCGUGAAAUGUUAGGCUUACCUUGUAGUAGAGACUUGGUGUCAUCACGACGGUUCAUAGAAGAAAAACUUGGGUCUUGCUAAAUCGCCUAUAGAGUUUUUGGGUCGAGAAAUAAUGUAAAAUAAUCUACGUCCAGUUUGUUCCCUCUUUGACCUAGCUACAGAUGUCGCAUUUGCGAAUACUUCUUCGGAAAUGCGAGACACUGAUCACAAAUGCGAUCAUGCAUCAGGCAGUCAAACAUCGCCAAAUGCAACAAAAUCUCGCAAAGGCGAACCACCCUCCCAUCGUAAAUGCGAGCUGAGCUUAGAAAUGCGAAGCCCAACAGUACUAUGCCGCAUCGCAAAGGCGAUGAAAGAGUCGCAAAAGUGAUCAUCACUAUGCAGAUCGCAAAAGCAAUCCGGACAUUGCAGACCCAACCCCAAGUCAUGUUGGGAAAUGCGAUUAUUUUAGUGCAAAUGAAGCCAUGGGAGGUACCGAAACAAAAAAAUUAAGGUUAGUAAUCAAUAUGACCUAUCAGGUAUAUAUAUAUAUAUAUAUGUGUGGGUAUGUUGAUACGUUAGUGAUAUAUUCGAGGCUUAGAGUAGAAUAACAUCAUUACAAAAGGAAAAUCUUGACCAGAGAGUAUUCAAAUAUUACAAGUACUCAAUGUUUGAAGUGAAUUUGCUCAUGAACCUCGUGUAAGCAUAAAAUAUGGUGAAUCAAAGUUGGAUAAAAACAAUAUCAGUACAAAUUUCAUGUUGUAAUCUAUGUUUAUGAUGAGGAUUUUAGUGCCUCCUGUUGUACUCAAACCCAACUGGAAUUAGACAACCCCCGUUUCCAAAAAGAAAUCUGUAAAUUGUUUGGAAUUUGAACUUUUUUUAGUGAUCAUUUGUUGAAUUAUACAAUGGAUUUUGACUUUUUAUACAGAUCUCAAGGUAAUUGGCGUAUAUAGGAGGUACCGAAACAAGAAAAUUAAGGUUAGUAAUCAAUAUGACCUAUCGGGUAUAUAUAUAUAUAUAUAUAUAUAUAUAUAUAUCCAUCUCUGUGUGUGUGGGUAUGUUGAUACGUUAGUCAUAUAUUCGAGGUUUAGAGUAGAAUAACAUCAUUACAAAAGGAAAAUCGUGACCAGAGUAUUCAAAUAUUACGAGUACUCAAUGUUUGAAGUGAAUUGUCUCAUGAACCUCGUGUAAGAAUAAAAUAUGGCGAAUCAAAGUGGGAUAAAAACAAUAUCAGUACAAAUUUCAUGUUGUAAUCUAUGUUUAUGAUGAGGAUUUUUUAGAAAAAAUUCCCUCAAGAAAGGUUGGUAGUGUCUCGAGCGUUAGUAGGGACAACUUAUUCAAAACAUUUGCCGUCACUGUUUACUGAAUAGUAUUUCCGUCACUAUUCAUCGGGCAUAUCACCGGAAUCUGGUGGUGGAUUGUCACAAUUUUGGUGUUAUGACAUCCCUUUCUUGUUGCGAACAAUCCCCAAUAGAUUUUUUCCUCAAAUCUAUCGCCAAUUUUCCUACAUCUUAUAUCUUGUUCUUCGAUUUACUACAGCACUCUCAGAUUCGGAAAUUUCAGCGCUACUACUUUCCGAUAGAGUGUUUGUGAUUGAUCCUGGUUGACGUUCAUUGCAAAUAUGGACACUUCACCCUCUCCCCAGCCUUAUGCUGUGGGAGAGGAUAAUUAAAACCAUAGGAAAAUCAAACUUCUCAAGAUACAAAACAAACUUACGCAUCGCAACUUGUUCGACAACAUUCUGUCGCAACAAACUCAAAACUUGAACUCAGCCCAGUUACGAUUGAGCAAGGAAUACCUACUGUUGAAUUCACCGUAGAUGAAGUGAAUUCAUUCACCUAGGAGGAAGGUCUUCAACAAGCAGUUGUGAUUAAAUUCUCAUAUGGAAAACCCUAGCUUCAGGAGCUGAGACAGAUUUUACCGAAGCAACUCGAUGUCAAUGAUAAUUGCAAUAUAAGACAGCUAGAAUAUCAGCAUAUUCUGGUAAGAUUCGAUCUAUUUGACGGUUUUGCAAAUGUCGUCUCAAGAACAACCGGUUAUGUUAAGGAAAAAGGAGACGAGUUCUUCUUUUAGGACAUUCCCAUGGAUAAUAGGAUUUAAUCCACGUGAAGAAACGUCAAAAGCUGUCGUUUGGAUCUCUUUUCCUAAACUGCCAGCAAAUUUCUUCGCAAAAUAAUCCUUAAUGUCAAUAGUUGCUGUGGUGGGAAAGCCAUUAGCAGUAGAUAAGGCUUCUAAAGAUCGAAUGAGACCUAGUACGACACGAGAAAAAAUCUUGAUUAAUUUACUAGACAAUCAUCCUAAGAAAAUAAAGAUCGAGAUAGAUGAUAUCAAAUUUUGAAAAAUAGUCGAAUAUGACCAGCGUAUCAUCUUUGAUAACCUUCCUAAAUACUGCACGUACUGUAAUCAUCAAGGUCAUGAUGAAAAUUCUUGUCGUUGGAGUGCAGAUGAAUUGAAUGAACAAGCAUUUCAUGAUCGAGAAUCUGAAGACCGGGUCAGGUUGACUAAAUUAGGAGGUGAUGCUAGAGAGUACCUAAAAGCUAGUCUUGUAGCACGAAGCAAUUAAGGGGUUCUUUCUAAUGUGAUUUAUGAUGCAGGACAAAAUAAUGGUUAUGUUCGAAUUGGUCCAGCUGCAGAAGCUCAUUCAAUGCUAAAUGCUGAUAUUGCACAGCUGUGUAAAUAUCCAUCUGCUAUUCAAUCGAAUUAGAAUGUUCCUAGUGAACAGGUGGUGUCAAAUUUGGCUGUUGCAUCUGCAGUGGCUGCACAUCACAAUGCAAACAGGAUUGAACACUUGUUGUUUGAGCAGCAACAUUUGUUGCACAAGAAUAACAAUAAGAAACCUACACUGUUUUGUCUAGGAAAUGAUACAAAUUUGGAGGUUCUGGAUCCUGCCAAAGCUGUUAUAGAUUCUACAGUUUCACCAGUUCAUCUGGGGGAGAAGUCGACAGUUCCAAAACUGCCUGAUGCUUCAAACAUUACUGCAGGAUGUAAUGUUUUAAAAAAAGCAUCAGCUUUGAGUAUAUCUAAGCAUUCCAAUCAAAUGAAUUAUGCGAAGGGCAGCAACCCAAUUCCACUGUGCAACAAUUAGUAACAAGAAAGGUAAAUGUCACAGCUUGUAUAGAUCGAAUUUUUAAGCCAUAUAUAGCAGGGGAUGGCAAUAUAUGCAACUGGGCAAAAUGAAGUGGUGGAUGUCCAAUGUGAUGUUAUGGAAUUGGAAUUUGCAGCGUCUGGUACAAAGGAUACCAACACUACCAACUGGACAGUACAAAAUGAAGCAUCUACACUUUCUUUGCAAUGUUCUAUUGGUCGAGCUGCAUCAGAGAUUGACAACCAUGAUACAGUGAAUGAAAUUCUUCACAGAACAACAACUCAUAUAGAUGGUGAUAUUGCGUAGAAUUCGUUCACACAACAUACCUCUAACCAGCAUGGCAGGGUCCAACAAGGUUGUCUCACCAUUUCUAUAGGUACACUUGCUGAUGCUGUCUCUACUGCUGCCUUAGCUCAAACAAAUUUGCUUUAGAGUCUACUUAUAAUUGACAACACACAAGGGAAGCUGGAAAAUGGUCAUCGAUGUCCAACAAAGCAGUAACACAAAAAUCCAAAAAUAAAAUCCAGAUCGCAUAAAAAAAUCCAGCUUUACCUUCAAUUUCAAACUCAUUUGCCGUACUUGCCAAUGUCAAUAAUGAUGAAGGAAGAUUCUUGGGAGAAAAUUUGCAGCUUUUUGACAGUCAAAAUAUCUCACCAAAUACAGAGGCAAAUAAAUACAGCUCAUGUUACUGCUCCAAAUAUGCAAAUAUAGUCCAAACUUCAAAGUUCUCCAACCAUAUCCACUCCUCAUGUGAACAACAUUAUCAAAGAUUAUGGGGAACCUUCAACUGCAAGUAACAAACAAGGUAUUCAACCAAAGAGGAGGGACUUGGUCAUUAAAUCAAAACUCUGGAAUGACCAACGAGAUUAUGAUGAUGAGGAAAGCUGGGAUGACGGACUCGCUGGUGUUUCAUCGGAAGAAGAUGACCAAGAGUCUGAUCAGGAUAGUACUGGAGAGGAAAGUGAUGAUCCAGUAAAGAAAAAAUUUCAAGGUAAAACUGCAUCUAAGAACACUCGAGCAAUUCUGCAACAAACAUCAACUCCAAACAGUAGCCUAAACCAUAAUGCUCCAGUUUUUGUUCCAAGAAAUAAUGCAAAAACAGUUAUUUCAAAUGUAGGGACAUCAAGCAUAUCAUUGCUGACUGGAAGGAGGAGUGUGCGUGGAUUAGUAAGCUGGCGAAGAGGAGAAAUAGCUUAGCAGAAAUUACAGCAUGCCUAUUUGGGAUUCUGGUCCCGACGAUAUGGAAAUAACGGAAUAAAUUGAGAUUCCAAGGUGGCAGGCUGAUGAGGGAUACCGUGUGUAAGGAAAUCGUGAUCCAUCUUCAUUGCAGAGGGGCUUCUAGACACAAAUGGAGGGCGAUUCUUCAUAGCUUAGAUUAUUUCCCCUAGUCAAAUGAGAUGGAUUUAAUCACAGAAUUGUAUCACAUGUAUUAUCUUUGUAUGUUCUGCUUACUUCUUAAAUAGAUAAUAGGGUAGUGUUUAUGUAUAUCAUAUGAACAAUAGAUGGUGAGCAUCUAUGCUUUGUAAGUAUUUUUUUUGAUGAAAUGAAAUGGAAAAUGUUUAUCAAAAAAAAUGUAGCGACAUCAAAGUUCGACCAGAAUGAAAUAGCACAUAAUCUUCAACUAAGCUCAGCCGAAGCAUCAGUUGGUGAUCAAAUUGCAACUGCGCUAUCAUCAACUAGCCAGAAUCAGGUUACAUCAACAGAACCAUUCUCUAAUUUAGAGGACAGGAAAUUUUUGGAUUCUAAGUUUCCUUCUGCUCAUAGCAAUACAGUAGCAUGUUCACAGGCGGGGCAACUCGUCAGAACUGCUCAGUAUUCUCGUCCGAGGAAAGACAACUCUUGGACGCGAUGGUAAAUACAGAUACUAAUCCUAUUACUGGUCGUUGUGUCAUUAGCAGGAACAAAUCGCAAAAACAACAAAAAAAAACGCAGUUAUGGCUAAUGCACAAUUAACAACGCAAGGCGAUUUUCAAAAAUUGCCAAAUCCUAUUUUGGCAGGAAGACAUAUAUAUGAAGAAGGGGAAGAAGAGGAUAUCCUAAAGCAAUGCCGAGCAGACGCUUCAACAAAAGGUGAUUUGUCACCAAUGCAUAGUACAAGAAGUAAGAAGUCCCAUCAAAGUGAUUUGUCACCAUUGCAUGGUCCAAGAAGUAAGAAGUCUCGUCAAAGGGAAAGAAGUUGGGACGGCAGGGUGUUUGAAGACGUAAACAUUAGGAGGCCCCCAAUGAGAAAUGCAAAACAAAAACAGGUCGCUCAAACAAUUCUCUCAAAAUCCAAUCGCCUGAAGAAUAAAGCAUAAAUUUGAAGACUUUUUGAAAAAUUAUGUGGAAGAAGACAACAUACUACAAAUCGAAUUUUUCACAAAAGAGAAAAGAGGGCACCUUUAUGGCUUCUUCAUCUUUUUAUUUUACCAUCACAUAAGUAUUAUUCUAUGUAAUAUCAUCACAGAGCAUGUUAUAAACUCUGUGAUGAUCAUUCAAUUUUUAGUUCUGGCGAGUUCUUUCUUUUUACAUGCUUGCUAGUCCAGGAGGCUUUUAUUUUCCUCAAUAGGAUAGCUAAGGUAAGGUCUACGCCGGCUGUGUUAUAUGGGUAACAUUACCGGUGUAAUCCACUUUAUUUUAUUUCUCCUAUUUGUUGUAAUUUUCUUUUUUCUAUUUUUUAUUAAAUCUAAUCCUAGGCUAUUGCCUAGUAGACCCAAAAAAAAAUGAUGAGGAUUUUAGUGCCUCCUGCGUUGUACUCAAACCCAACUGGAAUUAGACAACCCCCGUUCCCAAAAAGAAAUCUGUAAAUUGUUUGGAAUUUGAACUUUUUUUUAGUGAUCAUUUGUUGAAUUAUACAAUGGAUUUUGACUUUUUAUUUAGAUCUCAAGGUAAUUGGCCUAUUGAAACAAGAAGAAACUUUCAAUAAGAAGAAAUAUUAUAAUAGCAGGAGUAGUCUAUUUUUCCAAAUGGACCUCGUCAAUGGCAAGCAGAUAUUUGGGAAAACGAACAUAUUAAAUAUUUGAUCAUAGAAUUUUGAAGAAGAUGUCAAGAGUUCAAAUGUCAACUAAGAUAAGUGUUAACGCUUAAUUAGACCUCAUCCGGAGGAGUUAAAAUAUUCGCCCAUAUGAGUUAGCUGAUAUGAACGCUAAGGUCUGACGGUAUUUUUUUUUUUAAGAAAUUAGUUUUAUUUAUAAGAUAUUAUAUAUUUAGGUAGAAGUGGUAAAAUUGAUAAUAAAUAUUGGGGAUGACAAUUUUAUAUAUAUAUAUAUUCAGAGAGCUAACUUAGUUCCUUUGUGCUACGAGGAAAUAUACUCCUCCUUCGUGUUAUAAAAAGAAAAAAAGGUGGACAGAUUUAGUCAAAAUUUAGCCAAGUAUUUAACUUAUACUAUAAAUUAAUCUUUGCCUCAUUCCUUACACUACUCCUUUCUUCCUUGAAUAGCCAACCACUUGCGUACAGUUUCAUUGAAUUUUUUGACUAAAUCAUCAAUUGUCAGGCCUUAUUAUAAAUACCUGUCUUCACUCAAUGGUUUCCACACAAAUAAUUUAAGGAAAAUUGAAAGUUCAUUAGUUACAUAAAAAUAUAGGAAUAUGGCAAAGUCACUAGUGAGCUACACAACCUUUCUUGCUCUCCUCUUGUGCUUCCUCCUAAUUUCAUCCAAUGGUUGGCACUUGAUUUAUCGUCAUGACAUUAUUUAUGAGUAUACUUUUUGCCUUUGCACACUUGGACCCAACUCGUUAUAUAAGAUGAAAUAUUUAUCGCUAUAAUCACUAUAUGUUGGUAUCGAAAUUAAAUUAUGCAUGCAUCCGAAUCUAUUAUUUUUUUGAGAAAUAACUCACAUAUUCCAAUAAAUGAUUUUAGCAAAAAUACUUAUAUUAGUCGUUGUUCCACGCAGAGAUGCAAGCGGCAGAGGGCAAACUUUGCAGAAGGAAGAGCAAGACAUUUUCCGGGUAUUGCUUUAUUAGUGAACACUGCGACGAAGAAUGCAAAGAGAAAGAGGGGGCAAAGAGGGGUAUGUGCAUUAAGAAGAGCAUCUUUAGACGUUACUGCUACUGUUAUCACAAGUGCAAAUAAGCAUCAAAUGCUCUCAGAAUUCUCAUUUUUAUUUAUAAGUGGUGUGUUGUCUUGUGUGCGAACGAAUAAAAACACUAUCAAUUCACUAGAAUUGUAGUUAUUACGAGAAAACAGUAUCAACAAGAAGAGCAUCUUCAGACGUUAUUGUUACUGCUAUCACAAGUGCAAAUAAGCAUCAAAUGUUCUCAGAAUUCUCCUUUUUUAUGUAUGGCAAAUAAAAAAGUGAUGUGUUGUCUUGUGUGUGAAAGAAUAAAAAUACUACCAAUUCACUAGAAUUGUAGUGAUUGUGAGAAGUACUUGUUAGGAUUAUGAUUCCUACUAAAGACAAUAACCUUCAUAUUGAACAAUUCGGAAUUAAAACUACAUGAGCGGAAG